CCCUUUCGGGUCAACUUAGUAAGUGGGGCAGCAAUUGACAAGAAAUAUUUCACGAAUCUUUGGUAGUAUCCGACCAAACCCAAGAAACUUCGAAUCUCGGUAACAAUCUUCGGUUACUCGCAAUUGAUAACGGCAAAAAUUUUCUUAGGAUCAACAAAGAUUCCCUCAGCCGAGAUGAUGUGGCCUAAGUAACCAAUGUUAUCCAACCAGAAUUGACAUUUGUUGAACUUCGCAAACAACUUCCUCUUUCGUAACCUUUCCAACAGUAACCUUAGAUGACAGACAUGUUCUUGUUCACACUUGGAAUAUGCCAAGAUAUCCUCGAUAAAGAUCAUCACAAAUUCAUCUAAAUAAGAUUAAAAAUCCUAUUCAUCAAAUCCAUGAAAGUCGCAGGAGCAUUUGUCAAGCAGAAAGGCAAGACAAGGAAUCCAUAAUGACCAUAUCAGGUCCGAAAUGCAAUUUUAGGGACAUCCUCAUCUCGGAUCUUCAACUGAUGACACUUCAAUCUUGAAUCAAUCUUGGAAAAGACUUCUUUUCCUAACAAACAAAAUUGGAGCACCCCAAGGCGAGAUACUAGGUUGAAUAAUACCCUAUCAACCAGUUCUUGUAGUUGAAUUUUCAAUUCUCUUAACUAGGCAGAUGUCAUAUGAUACGGAGUAAGAGAGAUUGGAUUGGUACCUGGUAAAAAAUCGAUGGUGAAUUCAAUCUCCCGAUCAGAGGGCAAUCUAGAUAAAUCCUAUAGAAAUACAUUGAGGUACUUAUUUACGAUCGUCACAUCUUCAACAUUAGGGACUUCUUUUUCUUUAACCGUGACAUGAGCAAUGUAUCCCGCACAUCCUUUAGACAAUAGUCUUUUAGCUCGGAGUCAAGAAAUAAGACUAUUAGGUAAGAUCCUUCGUUCGCCCUUGAAUUUGACAUAUGCUCCUCCAGGUGGACGAAAGAUUACCAACUUCUGAAAACAAUCAAUGUGAGCAUGAUGUCUCGAUAGCCAAAUCAUACCUAACAUAAGGUCAAAAUUUACCAUAUGUAGGGGUACAAGAUCCGUUUCCAUGAGUACUGCACUCAUAAAGAUCAGACAAUUUCUAAAUUCCCAGUUAAUUCGAAUGGUUUCUCCCAUAGGAAACAUAAUCCAAAUUCAUGAUCUAAUAAAGUAUGUUGAACAUUCUCCAUACAAGUAAAUUGAGGAGAUAAACAAGAAUGGGUAGUGCCUAGAUCAAUUAAAAACUCAAGCAAGAUAUCCAAAAGCAUUUAACGUACCAGUGAUAACAUUAGGAUCCUUAUCGGCCUACUGACGAUUCAUUUCAAACAUAUGAUUCUACGUUGCACCACCCGAACCACCAGAAGUAAGUCCACCAUGAGAUCUAUGAGUUUAACCCCGAUGACCCUAUCGGUUAAUCUAACUCCGACUACCAGAAACUCCACCGCUGGACUGUCCCUAGGGGUUGCGUUUAUUGCACCGAACUAUCUCAGACUGGACUAGCUUUAGGGAUUAAGCUAGACUGCUUAGAUUAGACUAAGUUGGACUAACUUAGUGAAGUAUUUGGUACAAUGUCGGACUAAAAAGAGAAUAAUAAAAAAAAUUUCUUUUUUAUUCUUUUUCUUUCUAUUUCUGGAACUCUCUAUCUAUUUUUCUUUUUCUUAUUAUUUUUGUUUUCUAGGACUUUCUAUUUGAUUCUCCAUCUAUUUUUCUUUUUCAUUUUUUUCUUUUCUUUUCUUUUCUAGAACUCUGUAUUCUCUCCCUUCUCUGUUUCUCCAUCUGUAGUCCCCUAAGUUAGUCAAAGUGCACAAAUUGAUAAUCACAAAAUGGAGACAUGCCUCACUUUCAAUUCUCAAUUCCUAAUAUUUUUUUUCCCCAAAUUUCCAAUUCCCACCAAAAACCCCAAUGACUGCUCAUCCCAAUUCCAUCGGCGACCAUGUCAAGUUUUGCCAUUCGACAACCUCUCUCUCUCUUUCCUUUGUUUUCUCGUCUAAAUUCAUCCGGCCAAAUCCCUCUCUUUCCCAAUUUCAUCAGCGGGCAUGGCAAGUUUUCCGGUCUAGGUGGUUCUGAUUCUAAGAUUUUAGGGGGUUUUUGGUGGUUCUGCACUCCAUCGCGAUGCAAGAUUAUGGUGGUGGGUCGAGGGGCUUUAGGAAGACAAGAGGCAGUGACAUAGUCCUAGCUAAUACCAAAGUUUCAGUCGGGACUAGCUAGCGACGCUUAGCGAAGUUCAGAGUCGAGGCGAGUCCGACCUAGAAUCAUUUAAGUUAGUCCCUUGCUACGCCAAACACAGGACUACACAGACUAUUAGUCCAGUCCUAUCCAGUGAAUGUUAACGAUGUCAAACAAACACCCCCAAGAAGUAUUCUACUGAACCAAAUGCGGAGAAGAUUAUGGAACUUAAGGCAUAACAGGUUGAGAAAGCUGGUGAAUAAAAGGAUAGGCAUAUAAACUGGGCUGAAAAAACUAUUGCCCAUCAGCAGGAUAAGGUGCAAGCUAUUUAUAUGAAUUAUGCGGAACUUCAUGUUCAAGUUGCUAAGUCAUUUCAUAAGAUAUCCCCAACUGUUGCCUCAGAUAAGGGCAAUUCCUUAGAAAAUGUCUUGACUGACAACAAUUGAAGCAAAGUCUCAUACCCGGUCUACACUCCCCAUCAUGGUAUGUGAAGCAAAUAGUGUAGAAAGGUAUGUGGUCCUUACAAAAAGAGCCACCCCAAGAUUCAUUGCCAGAGAAUCGGCCAUUGCUGGUAAAACCCUUGCUGGCAUGAGGUGUAGUAUUGUUAGAUCCACCGUUAGUAGACCCAGAAAACUGACCUUUCUUCUUAAUAGCUACCUUACUCUUCAUUCCGCCCAUGGACAAUGCUUCCUUGAUAUUUUUGGCCUUAAACUUACUCUUAAAUACACCAAACUGUCAUCCACCACCACUAGUGCUCGUUUGUUUACCCUUCGCUAUCUGAUUUUCCUUCUUCUAAUUAAUCACUUAUUCAACUCGCUAAGCUGUGUGGAAAGAUGUCUCAUAAGUGACACCGUCGCUAACAAUGGCAUAAGUGCACAAUUCCGGAUUAAGGCCAGAAAUAAACUGCUUUCUCUUCUCAUCAGCACUAUCUUGAAUACCCGGGCAAUACUUGACCAAUCGCCAAAAUUCUCGCUCAUAGUCAACAACAGACAUAUCCCAUUGCUCGAGAACCAAAAACUCUCAUCUCCUGAUAGCUUGAAACUCAAGACUCAAAAAAUUACUCUUGAACUACUCCUCGAAAAGAUCCCAAGUCCAAACCUCAUCAGCCUGAAUGUUGUGACGCUCUGUCUUCUACCAAUUCUUAGCGUUGUCAACCAUGAAGAAAGUUGUUGUGCUUACUCUCUAGUCCAUCGGACAUCAUCCAUAUGCUCCAACCAAGAUUCAACUUCUUCCCCGACUCCACGACCGUCAAGAAAGUAAGGACCAUGACUCACGACAAUUUUCGCCUAAGUGCGACCACGAUUUGCAUCAGGAAUCAGUUGGGCUAAUGCCUCAGUUAACUGUUGUAAUCCCAAAAUAGGAAUAUGUUCACACCUAGGUGGCAUAAUUUGCCAAGUAGACAUUAAAUAAUUAGCACAAUUACUGGCAUCAUACAAUGCAAAUGUAUGUUUCCCCUAACCAUGCUCUGAUACCAAACUGACACACCGCAACCCUAAUAACACAAGUUAUAAGGCCAUAAUGUGCUGGCCGACACUAAAUUGACCAUAUGACCCCAUUAAGAGACAACGUCACAUGCCAACUUAAUGACGAAGCCAUAGUAAGGUAUUUAUGAUGUGCAAGAAUUUGAACAAAAACGUUCAUCACUAAUAAAUCCAAAGCUUCUACAAGUUCGCUUAUCAACCUCCCCACUUGGGGACACGAAUUAUCUCGAGAUUAACUGUCAUUAUUAUCACAUCACAUUAGAGCAACUAGAAGUUUCACACAACUAUAAACACAUAAAAGCACAGUAUUAUGCAUGAUCAAAAGUGCGAUCAUGCAACUAUUACAAUAAAGAUAAAACUAUAGUAAAUGAACCAUCAUCCUAAAUCCAUAUGAUGAAAGCCUCACUGCCAAGCCCACUCGUCACCAUCGGCAUUCUCCUUAUUCUCGUUACGUCCUAAAGGGGUUGACAAAAAAAACGUAAAUGGACCAGUUUUAUCACAUUUAAAGUUAUUCAACAUAAUAGUCCCUGUUUUGAAAACAUGUAUAGUGAAAUUUACAUACACAGUAAUACUACAAUAAUAGUAGUCAAGACCAACUCAAUCGUGCUCAUCAUAUCAAAGAAAGUAAAUCAAUCACAAAUAACGUAAUGUAUAGCAAGCAGGUAAAGUGACAUCUACCUGAUCGAUAUCUAGCAUCUACUAGCACAUUCUAGCCUCUAUUAGAAAAAAGGUACUUGCAAUAAGUCCUACGGCCAUAGCUAGCUAUAUGUAUGAUAACCAUGUGAUGAAAAUAAAUCACCAAUGAUCUCAAGAUAUCUUCUAAAUACAAUUCAAGCAUAAGUCUUGUAAGACCCAACAAUAUCACCUCUCCAGUGGACAUAACAUAAGCACGCACCCUAGGACACGACUUGGAGUGAAUAGAAAGCUAAGCCUACCCCCGAAGAGGAUCGAUCUAAUCAGGUGAUACCCUGAUACUAUCGAAUACAAACAAAUCAACUCUGGAGAGAACCAAGUCAAUCAAGAGUACAUACUCCACCAGCUGUCCAGGUACUAGGCUGCGCAGGCUAGCCUGCACAAUACCUUCUAGGCCACGUGAUGUGCCAUGCGAGGCAGUUUGGCACAGCCACUCCUCUCACCCACGAUGGAGAAAAGACAAAGUGUCCUUCUCCGACAUGGCAUUCGUAUGUCAGAUCGAUCUCCUUGUUGGACCCUUUAUUCCAAGCUAUGCAAGGGAAUGUCUAGUGAUGUGGACCGACUUCAUAGGGGGCCUAUAAAUAUGCCUGGUGACCCUUCACCAUAGGUAAGCCCAUCAACACCCCCAUAAAUACACUUUGCACCCCUCUCUACAAUCAUUGACUUAAGCAUCGGAGCCUCCACGCCAGGAAAUACCCUUCUCGGUGCUCAGACUCACAAUGUUGGCCUGUUCUUCAUCUACAGGUUUCACUCCACGGUGGUGGAAAAUCGGCUCCAACAAGUCUUAUCAAAGACUAACAUAAGUAAUAUGCAUCCGCAUAUAAAAUCAUAUAUAUAUAUAUAUAUAUAUGAUUUUAUAUAUCUAUAUAUAAUCGUAAAAACAUUUAGUUGUUCAAAGGGGUCCACUCAUAGGUAAGUAGAGUAUCCCUCCUCAAUAUGCUCCUUGCCUAAACUCUUUCGAUCCUCUAAUAAGUCAGUAAUAAUCAUAUAAAUCUAAGUUAUCUUUAAUCGACAUUUUAUGGAAAAUUGUCCAAAACUACCAUUUAGGUAAUGAAUUUGCACAAACGGAGGGUGUCACGUGAAUUUAAAACACCGAAAAACUAUGGAUAGGUCACAGAUCAUGCACGCGCCGUAGCGAUUAUGUCAUGCACUGUCAUGCGCCGCCAUGGGCCGUCAACGUCGUACUCACCACCGUUGUUCAGUGAGUAGACGUCACGCUUGCCAUCGCCAGUAUGGUGAGGUUUUAAGUGAGUUAACCAAAUAUACCUGCUCCGUUAGUAGAUAACGGAAAUUCAGUUCCUUCUAUUAAGGUUAAUAGAUGAUCAUCGCCCGUCGCCAUCGCUGGUUCCUUAAGUCUCGCCAAUUUGAAUGAUUUCAACGCCAAAAUUUGUGUAAUUUAGUCCUAAAUAUGAUCAGGAACUUACCUAGACCCUUUUUAAGACGAUGAGAGGUUGAAUCCACCUCAAAUUGAACGAGUGAAGCUAGAAACUGACAUACAACUAGGUUAAUUACUUGGGUUCGAUUCUAGUGGAGUCCAUGCACCACCAGUCAUAAACUCGUUGGAGUUCAUCCGUUCACACUCGCCGAGAACUGCAAAAAGAUAUAAGGUGCAUUCAGGGGUUAGGACUCGAUUAUGGAGUUAAAAACCUCAUCCCAAGUAUCACAAAAACUAUUGGAGAGAAUAGAAGUACUAGGACACCCACCGGUUUCUAACUCAACGAUAUUUCACCGAAAUUCGUCGACAAGGCUGGGUUCGAAGGUACAGAAAAUUGCUUGCAGAGGUUGAAACCCUCGAGUUUCAACAUAAAACUAACACCACAGGGUGAAAAACAACAUGAUUAAACCCGGAAAUUCAAAGGAUAAACAGAGGCCUCACCUGGGUAUGAAGUUUGAGAGCUUCUAGCUCUUUGCUUUAAUGGUGCCGAGGUCCACACUGCACCGAUCUCACAUGCAAGACCACUAUUCUGAUCCUUGCAUCCCACAGACUUCGAACAUGUAAAAUUUAGGUUUGAUUUGUGAAGGUAAGCGAUGUAAGUAUAAACUAACACACAAAUUAAACUAUAAAUUAUGCAAUCGUAGUACGAGUAAGUAGGGAUCGCUCUCUUCUGGAGAUUAGAAGUGAUGCUAAUCAACACAGAUUGAACUUAAAAAACUCAAAACUAAGUUAAACUAAUAAAAAAACAGUGACUGGGGGGAUUUUGGACGAAUUUAAUUAAAACAAAAGUAAAUGGCAAGAAGUAAAUUAACUUGUGAAUGAAAUAUGGAUUAAAAUGUAGCUAAAGGAUUCUUCUCCACACAUGAAUCAUAUGCAUACAAAUCGAUUUCCAACUAUUGUUCCUAUAAACCAUGAAUGACAAUGCCCAAAUUAAUCGUGAAUAGCACUAAUUAACUCGCUAAAUCCAUUGAAUUAGACUCAGCGACGCAACCAAAUUAUUCUUCUCAAGUUCCCUAACUAUGAAAACCAUAAUAAAGAUACAUCUCAAAGAUCAUUAAGUUCUGUGAAAAUCAUAAGCAUCGACAAAGCAUUCAUAACUAUGAAAAACAUGAUAUUCCUGCCAAGGAUUUACUUAACAUAAUCAGAACUAGUAACUUUUAAUACUUACAAAUAUAAGUUUAUAACAAUUAGGUGAAAUUCUCUUAUAUUCUAGCAUAAAAUCCCUGCAUGCAAACUAAGUAUGCAUCCUUAACAAGCAUACAAGAAUAAGUUCUCUAUAAAGCAGAUAAGUAAAUCACAUUCAUGUUUUAUGAAACAAUAACUGGAUGUAAUCAAUUUAUAUAAAACAUGUGAUCAUGGCUUCGAAUUCAUCUCUAGCUGUAAAAAAAACUUAGUUGCACAUGUUCAUCAUAAACGAAAAAUAUUCUAAAAUAAACAUUGAAACUUAAAGCAAAGAUAGAGAGAAAUUUGGAAAGUAAGGUUUACAAACUGAUCCCUUGUAGAUGGAAUGGGAUUCAAAUGGGAUGCCGCAAAGCCUUACAAGAAGGCUUAUUUAUACAUGUCAGAAAAGUAAAUAACCAUACAAGUGGCUUUGAUAAACAACACAAAGCAAGGACUAACACAUGCAAAACAAAUGAUGGUGUUCAAUGUCUUUACACCUUGUCAAACACAUGCAGCAACUUUGGGCCUUUUACACACACAUUUUCUGCUAUCUUUCUGUUGUCUUUCCACUGAUAGGAAUCGACAGUUUCAGCCAACACAUGGAAAGGUAGUGUGAAGGAAGCAUGAGUGCACAAACAGCUAGCAGCACAUGGGAAGGUAGUGUGAAGGAAGCAUGAGUGCACAAACAGCUAGCAACACAUGGGAAGCUCUUUUUGAACUUCCAAUCUCUUUAACUAGGAUUCCUUCAGAUUUUAGCACACGUUCAACGCCUUUUAAACACCAAAAUGUCCAAACCAUAUGCUAUCCAACCCAAGUCCAAAACUGUUCCAAAUUGCUCCAUUUGAUUAUUUAUUGUCAUCUUUACCCACUGGACCUACAAUAAUACGAAAAUGACUUAAAUUACUAUAAUAAAUGAAAAAUAACUAAGUAAAUGCAAAGAAAUAAGAUAACAAAGUCGCAUGUAUAUGCUACUACCAGUAAGUGAGAGAGUGAGAGCUUUCUUCUCUUGGUGCUAGAGAGAGAGAGAGUGAGUUUGAGAGAGAAAAAGAGUUUAGAGAGGGAGUGUUCUAAAAAUGAGGGAAGAGAGAGGACCGGAUGUGGAUUUAAUCCCGCUUAAAAUAAUUUAAAUGAAAUCACCCAAUUACCCUCCAUAGUUGCAAAAAUAACAAUUAUGCCCUCAUGGUCUCGAUUCGAAAUUCGUUUCGAAAUUGAACUAACUUCUGAGAAAAUUAAACUUAGAGAUAGUAAAAGAAUAUAAGUUUCGAGUCGAGGCUCGAAAAUUAAUUAAGACAUCCACUCGGACAAAAUAGUCAUUUCACAUAUCUUGGGAAUAAAAUACAAUAUUUCAAGAAAAGGGCCGUAACACUUUGGGCAUCCGAAAAAUUUUAAAUGUGUAAAGUUAAACAUAACUAAUGAAUUUGCUGAUGUGGAUUAUAAUCAAUGAAUUUUAUUCAAGUAAAAAACUUUUGUCGGUUUUUAUGUGAACAAAAUUAAGUUUCAAAAGCUAAAGUCAUAUUUUCAGUCAAAAAAAACUGGCUCGAGUUCCGUUUUACGCACCUUUUUUUCUUUUUCCUCCUAGUCCAUGCAGCUGUUUAUUGGGGCAUCAAUUUAUUGUGCAUUUCUUACAACACCGUUAGACUUCAGUCUUUUACAAGAUCGAUUCUCCUCGUAUGAGAGUCUCACCUGGUCUUGCGUAAGAUUGACAUCCUUGUCAUACCCCCUCCUUUUACGAGAUCCAUUCUCCUCAGAUGAGAGUCUCACCUGGUCUUGCAUAAGAUUGACAUCCUUGUCAUACCUCUGUCUUUUACGAGAUAGAUUCUCCUCAGAUAAGAGUCUCACCUCGUCUUGCAUAAGAUUGACCUCCUUGUCAUACUCACUGGAAAGUGUCAUAGGAUUGGAAAAUUCAUCGACUACAUUUUCCUGCUCCAGGUAAACCCCUAUUUUCUGCACCCUCAGAUGAAUAUCGUCUGUACUCCCGUGUCCUACAAAGCUUGCACCAACAUUUAUCUUGUCCCCAGCGUUCACUUUAAGCGUAUUGUUUGAUAAAUGUCCCAGCCAAAUAUUACUUUCAUGGCGAUUUAGUACGGUGGCAAACAUUGGAGAGCUUGAAAUCUCAGUUUCUUUGGUACGAUUUUCAACACAGAUGCAAAGAGAAUCACUAGAUUGGGAGUCGUUGCAAGAAUAAACGAUGCACAGAGUCAAUGCCUUUGCAUCAUCACCAAAACAUUGCGGCACAACUAUUUCUUUCUUAGGGUCAACGCAUGUAAACCCUGAUGGAAGAUCAUUUCCGGGGAUAAAAAGAGCAGAAACUAUUUCAUCCUUAGGGUCAACGCAUGUAAACCCUGAUAGAAGAUCAUUUCCUGGGCAAAAAAGAUCACCAUUUCUGCUCGCGCUCCAUCCCUAUGCCAUGGAGUAAGAUUUGUACAAAAAGUUAAUAAAUGCAUGUAUGUAUAGGCUGUAUACGGAUGGGUGCAGAUAGAGAGAGAGAGGACCUGUAGGAUUGCUUUUCUAAAAGCAGCAGUGAGAUUGGUGCACCCUUCCAUAUGAAUCCUUCUCAUAGUGUUUAACGACUUAUGCAAGCCUAGAAUCUUAGUGAGUUUGGGGGAGUGAUUCAGAUGCAGUUCUACCAUACUCGACAUUUCCGAAAAAUCUGGCAUCUUUUUCAAUGCAAUGCACUCAUCCGCUUUCAGGAUUUCCAAAUUUGUUGGUAAAUCUGGGAUUUCCUCAAGAUUUUUGCAUUUUGCAACAGAUAAAUACUUAAGGUUCUUCAAUUGUACUACAGAGUGGUGAAUCUCGGACAAACUCUUACAGGCUUCGAGUAUCAAUAUCUCAAUAUUUGGGAUUCUUGAAAAGUCUGGUGAUUGUUUCAGGUGAUCACAAUAACCAAGAUUGAGAAACUUCAACUUUUCAAGUGACUGCAAGACAAAAAGGGAAAACAAGUAUCAAAAUUCAAAUAGAAGAGAGAGAGCAUGAUGUUGGUAUGUAAAAACCUGGUGGAAAGAAUUGAUAGUUUGGUUGGGUUUGUAUCGUACCACGUUGUCAUUCCAGACUUUUAUAUUGCUAUAACUCAGGUCGACAUCAACUACGUUUGGUUGAUUAAAAUCUUCUGGUAUGGCCUGCAGAGGAAAGUCAGACAAACUUAACCAUCUUAACUCUUCGGGAAGAUGUUUGCAGUCUCCAGUGAACUUUACGCCUCUUAUUUUGAGUAAUCUCAGGUUCAGCAUCAUUCUGAAUGCUUCUGUACUGACGCUAAGCUUGUCAGGUUCUGAAAAAUCUAAAGUGAUUCCUUCGAUUUUUUUCUUUUCCUGUUAGAAAGCAAAAGAAACUAAAGUAAGACGAGGGUUAUUUGCUUAGACUUUAACCGGUGCAGAGCACCAGUACUGGAUCAGUGACAAGAGUUUGCUUAGACAUCAGUUUUGUUUGAACAAUCUAAAUUAGUCAUCUGUGUUACAGGGAUAAUUUUCAAAUAAUUCAGUAAAUAAAAUCAGCAUUUUUUUUCUCAUUUAUUACAAACAUGUAUUAAAUGCAAUUUGAUUGAGGAUGUACUUACACAUUUUUUCGUCAAUACGUGUUUUACAUCCUCAUGAUGCCACAAUCUACAGCGACUUUCAAGCUUCUUAGGGGAUUUAGCACGUACAAUUUCUCUGCCCGUGUCUCGAAUCAAACAAUGCAUCAUCAGAUUGCCUUCUGGAUCAACAGUUACAAGGCAUCGCUCCUCGAGUUCCUUAAUACCUAUUGCUGGAUUACUGUCACACCCAUCCAAUAUUGCCAUGACAUGGUGCUUGUUCAUUCCAAUAAAGAAACAGGAUAUGUCAAGGAAUAUAUCCUUCACCUUGUCAUCAGUAAGCCCGUCAUAACUUACCUUAAAAAUUUCAUGAGUUAUGCUAGGCUGUAGUCUUUUCCAUUUUUUCAAUGCAUCUGUCCAUUCACUUGUGGUUUUUGUACAUAGGUAAGAACCUACAGCUUCAAGUGCAAGUGGUAAACCCCCACAAUAAUCAACAGCUUCUCUUGAGACUUUGAGAUAUCCUUCAUUAGGAGAACUUUUUCGAAACGCAUGCCAACUAAGGAGCUCAAGAGCUUCAUUGUUAUUCAUUGUCGGUAGAGAACAUGCAUCAUCCACCACUUCAGGUGUCUUUAGCAAAUUUUUAUCUCUUGUUGUUAUAACAAUUCUACUUCCCGGACCAAACGAGUCAUGUUUUAUAGCUAAUGCAUUUAUCUGUCUCACACUGUCUACAUCAUCAAUUAUGACAAGAACCCUUAUGUUGCGAAGUCUUGUUUUUAUCUCCUCCGUCCCUUCAUUGACUGUACUCACAUUUAUGUUGGCCGAUCUCAAGAUUUUAGACAGAAGAAUGUUUUGCAAAUCAACCAUUUUCUCAUUUCUCACAUUUUCAAGAAAACAUGCACCAUCAAACCUGUCCUGGUAUGUGUUGAAAAUGGCUUUUGCAAUUGUUGACUUACCUAGCCCGCACAUCCCCCAAAUUCCAAUUAUGCGAACAACAUUUGAUCCUCCAACAUCAAAAUAAUUACUGAUUUUUUGGCGGCGAGAAUCUAUUCCAACUGGAUUUGCGGCUACAUUUAAGCAUCCAUUCUGCAGUUUUAUAGCGAUCUCCUCAACAACUUUCCUGAUAAACCUUGCUUCACGCCUGGAAUUAAAAUUCAUAAUUAAGAAAAAGUAAGAUCUACUAGUUAAACUUCUAAACAUUCAUUAGGAGUGUGUAAGAUUCGAAUAUAUUAGUUAAACUUCUAAACAUUCAUCACCAACACACUAAUAUUUAGUGAGAUAGAUCAAGCGUUUAUAUAUUAAUCCUCGUAUCAGAGUUUCUAAGCUUUGCGAUUAUAUUUUGAAAAACAGAACGAUUCAAAGAAUUACUUUGUUAGAGGAAAUAAGCAAGUUAUUACCCGUUAUUCACUCGAAAAUGCUCGCCGCUCAACUCUGCAGCUGCAGUAAGUGCCUCUCUCCACUCCUGGACUUUUUCUUCCGUAAACUUUUGUUCAUGGUUCUGAAACGCGGUUGCAAAACUACCAGUCUGAUGCCUGACAUCUGAAGGAUCAACAUCGUAGAAAAUCGGAAAAACAAGUUGACCCCGUUUUCUGCACUCCAUGAUCUGCACCAGCUCCUGAAGACACCAUCUGGACUCCGCAUAACGCUUUGAGAACACGAUGGCAGCAAGUUUGGACCCUUUGAUUGCUCGCGUCAGUUCUUCUGAUAUAGCAUCCCCUCUAGGUAAUUCGUCCUCGUCCAGAAAGACAUUGAACUUGUAGUCUUUUAAUGUACAGUAGAGGUGGUCCGUGAUGCCCAUGCGUGUUUCUUCGCCUCUAAAGCUCAAGAACACGUCGUACUUGCUGCCCGGGUUCUCCAUCUGUUCAACGAUUAUGUCUAAUCGGAACUGCAAAAUGGAACCAGGGGCAGAUGGUUUUUGAAUCGAACUAGCAAAGGAAGUCAACCACACAUCUACCCAAAAAAAAUGAACCUUAUAAUAACCCUAGAAUCGCUAUUCACAUACUCUUUCUUUUCCUUUUUUCUUUUUUCUUUUUUUCGGGUAUAAACAGUUAAUAUUAAGGAAAACUAAUGAAAAGGGUUUGAAAACUUUGAGUUUUAAUGAUAAGGACAAAAUUAAGGGUAAAGUGAAUAGUACCAGGAUUGACUUUUUAGUGUAAAAAUGUAGUUUUUCGUUAAAGUGAACAGUACCGGAUGCUUUUCGUUAAAAUCCCCUUAUUAUCAUUGCCAUAGAAAAUUUACAGAACAAAGCUAACAAGGGCCCAUACUAUAAAUACAAUUAUACAAAGCAAAAAUUGACCUUACAAACUACAUGUCAAGGGCCUAAAAAAGGGCUAAGGCCCAAAAACAAACACCGAAAGAAAGCCUUAGCCUUCUGCUACAUCCGCUGCUGCAGCACCACCCGAGCAGCAUGAACCAUGGACACCAACGAACAUCAAAAUUCCGACCAAUUAACGCCUCAGAGAUGGGAGGAAGGAAGACCAGUAAUCCAUCAAUGAAACUCUCUCCGAACGCAACCUCCAAGUAGAAGCAAACAAAGAAGCUUGUGAGAUUCCCACAAGUGACGCUGCCAAUAAAGACAGAUCGAGAGAAGAAGGUUGUGCGGAAACCCGAGCCAAUAAGCAUACCGGAGCUCUACACACCUUCUCAAUCAAUCAUUCCUAUACUACAAGAUGUAUUCCAAAGUAUUUACAUUUUUUAACGAAUGUAUGGUUUUAAUAACUUAUUUGCAAAUAAAAAUCCAGGAAUUAGAGGCUGUGAAGGCCUAAUCGGAUAAAUGGUCCCCGUGAUGUUAAGGUAAUCGGAAAGUAGCCCCCGUGGUAAAAAAUUUAGGAUUUAAACCCUCGUGAUGUGGUCCGUUAGCAAAUUUAGUCCAAAAGUGAUUUUUCAUUAAAUUCGUCAAAUACAAGGGUAAAAACGUAUUUUGAUGUGUGCACCUUCUUCUUCAAUGUUCAAUGUUCAAUCUAAAUUACAAUGAAAGUUAGGUCCAAUUCUAAAUUUUACUCGACACAAAAUGUCGAUGUAAAAAAUAAAAUUCAAAAAAUUGUAAAAAAUAAAAUUCAAAAAAUUGAAGUGCCAUAGUGAAGCCUUGCAGCAUGAGCAACAGAGAUGCUCUUAACUGCAUGAACCCUGGAAGCCCACAAGUCAACGUCCAUGGUGGUGGUUCAACUCUCCGGCGACCCAAGUCAGCUUUUUUCAACGAGAACUGGUGGAAACCGCCCCUUGGGGAAAUGGGUUUGGACCAAAAGGCUUAAGGUUUCAAGCUUCUCUUAGGGAAAUGGGUUUGGACCAAAAGGCUUAAGGUUUCAAGCUUCUCUUAGGGAAAUGGGUUUGGAUCAAAUGGCUUAAGGUUUCAAGCUUCUCUCUCUCUCUCUCUCUCUCUCUCUCUCUCUCUCUCUCUCUCUCUCUCUCUCUCUCUCUCUCUCUCUCUAUAUAUAUAUAUAUAUAUAUAUAUAUAUAUAUAUAUAUAUGUUUGUUAAAAUCCCAAUUGUUGUUGUAAGAGCAACUCCAUCAUGGGAAACCCCCCCAGGCUAUUUGAACAGUAAUUGUCUUUUGCAUCUUCACUGUUGCACUUGAAUAGCCCUGGCAAUAAGCAAUAAAAUAUUAGUUUUUUUUAAAUAAUACAAAAUAAUUUUAUUUGUAAUUUCGGAUAAGAUUUUUAAUAGUUCUCGUUGCGCCACGUGUCAUUAUCCGAAAAGACAAUUAUUGGUGAUGGAUUUCGAUAAGAUUUUUAUCCAAUGUCGUGCCACGUGUCGUUACCUUUUCAAAAUCUUUGAGGAUAGAUUUCAAUCAGAUUUUAAAUCGUUCUCAUUGCGCCACAUGUCAUUAUCCGAAAAGACAAUUAUUGGUGAUGGAUUUCGAUAAGAUUUUUCUCUAAUGCCGUCGUGUCAUGUGUCGUUACCUUUUCAGAAUCUUUGAGGAUAGAUUUCGAUCAUAUUUUAAAUCGUUCUAAUUGCGCCACGUGUCAUUAUCUGAAAAUAUAAUUAUUGGUGAUGGAUUUCGAUAAGAUUUUUAUCCAAUGUCGUCGUGCCACAUGUCGUUACAUUUUUAGGAUCUUUGAGGAUAGAUUUCGAUCAAAUUUUUAACGAAUGACGGCAUGCCACGUGGAUAGCACAUGUAUAGGCCAAGUUGGAUGGACAAAUUUGGAGUUCAAAAGGCUAGGAAUCUGAUAAGGAGAUGAAGAAAUUAAAUUCAAGACAAAGAAGAUAAGGAAUCAGCUCAAAAGAAUGAGAUAUUAUCCAAAACCUUAUCCAACCUUAUCUUAUCCAAACAAACAUUAUCUUAUCCUAUCCUAUCCUAAUCUUUUCCUAACUUAAUUCCUGCUGCAAGGGGGAGUUAAUUUCUGAUUUAAAUCACCUAGAAACCUUUCUAGAACGCCUUAUAUGUUCCUACAUUGGUGUUGCAUGCUUUUAGGCCUUGUUCUUCUAGAAAUCAGCCACAUAACAUUGUUUCUAGAAUUCCCUACAAAAGUGGCGCCCCAAACCCUUCUAGAAACCCUAAAAUCUGCACAAACCCUAGUUCUUUUCCCUUUUGGAUUGAGGCCCAAGCCUUGGCCCAAAAUUCUAAGCCUUUUCCCAUCAGAAUUUGUGAAAACCCUAGCCUAUAAAUAGAUGUUUUCAGCCACAAAUUCAUACACAACCCUCUACCAUUCAGAAACACCUCUCAGCCGCAACAGUUCAUCAUUCUACACCAUUCUACACCAUUCUCCACCACCAUACAUCCUUGCCGCAGCCCCCCUUCAACCUAAAUACAUUCCUGACCCUUCCAUUCACCCAUAAACAUCCAUAGACACUUGUGCCGCAGCAAGGUGUGGAAGAAGAAGGGCAUUGGUGUUUCAUGCUUGCAGAUUGGAGCGUUUUAGGUGUACUUCGUUCUUGUUUUCAAUGUUUACUUUGUUAUUACUUUCUGAUUUUGAUGUAAUCAUGAGUGGCUAAACCCCUAUUUAGUUAGGGGGAAGUUUGAAGCCAUGAACAUGCUUGAGAUAUGAAUUUAUUACUUCCAAUUGUGAUUUGUUAAGUUGUGAUUGCAAUUCAAUUAUCUGUUUUAUUGAUAACUGAUUCUUAUAUGUUUAUUAAGGAUGCAUACUUAGUUUUCAUGCAUGAAUUAGAUGCUAGAAUAUAAAUGAGUUUCAUCUAAUCGUUACAAGUUUAUAUGCAUUAGUAGUGAAGGUUGCUUGUCACAAUCACGUUAAUUGAAUUCUUGGCAAACAUAUCAUGCAUUCAUAGUUACAAUUGUCUCAUCAACACUUAUGAUUUUCAUGAAACGUAAUGAUCUCUGAUUGUAUCUCUAUUAUGCAUUCAUGUAGGGGACUUUUAGAGAAUGAUUUGGGUUGUUGCAUGCAUUCAUCCAAUCCAAUGAGUAAAGGAAAAUCUGAGGGUUAAUUUGUGCAUCACGGUUAAUCUGGGGUGUUGAGCAUCAUAAUCUAUUAAAAAGCAAUUGGAAAUCGAUUCAUGUACAAGUGUGUCAUGUGUGAAAAACGGACCUCUAACUAAUCCAUCCAUCAUCUUAUUUCUCAAAUUCGUUUUACAAUCUGCCUGGUUUUAUAACUUGUUUAUUUAUUUCAAAUUCGUCCAAAUCAAACCCCCCCCCCUUUUAUUUUCUUGUUUCAAAGUGUUUCAAAUCUGUUUUGUUUGUGUUUUUGAGUGUUUUAAUUCAAGCCAAAACACUAAAGUCGUCCCAAGUUGUGUUAGAGUCAGAAACUGCCCAGUUUGUGUUUAUAGGCAUUUUUUGAGUGUUUUUAAGUUGUUUUGAGUAUUUUGAACCUGGUUUGAGUUCCUUAAGUCUAUUCAAAUGUUUUUAACUUUGUUUUUAUGUUUUUGAGUCAGUUUAGAGGUUUUAGCAAGCCCUCCUAAUCCCCGGUUUAGAAUGAUCCCUACUUGCAUUUAUACUACAAUUUGACAACAAGAGGGUUUAAUUUGAGUGCUUAACUUUUAUCACAUCAAUCAGUAAGAGGAAGAAUUGUUUAACCAAUCCAAAAGAAUGUUCAAUCUCCAGGUGGCCCAAAAUGAGAUGGAAGAGGAUGAAGAGCGUAGAAAGAGCAAUGACGAAGCAAGAAUGGCUAGAGCCUCACAUUCCUGUCGAGUCAUCCAAGUUGUGGCUCAGAUCUCCAAGCCCAGCCUUUCCAUAAACCUUGAUAGAAACAUGCAACAACGAGGUGUGGACCUCUUGGACGAUUUUGUCCGUAACAGUGCAUUCCCUAAUACGUAUUUCAGACGUCGUUUUAGAAUGGAACGACAUUUGUUCAACAAAAUCAUGAUUGUUGUUUGCAACCAUGAUUCUUACUUUGUGCAAAAGAAUGAUGCUUUUGGUGAUAUGGGUCUCAUUCCUGAGCAAAAAAUUAAUGUUGCGAUGCGGAUGCUUGCAUAUGGAGCAUUUACAAACCAAGUGGAUGAGAUAGCGAGGAUGGGGAAAUUAACCAUUCUUGAGUCCCUGAUGAGGUUUUACGGAGCAAUCGAAUCUACACCGUAGAGUACCUUCGGAAAGCUACUAACAUGGACUUGCAAAGGCUUUUGAUGAAGGCAGAGGUGCGAGGCUUUCCUGGGAUGAUUGAAAGCAUCAAUUGUAUGCACUAGACGUGGAAAAAUUGUCCAAGUGCAUGGCAAUGCGCUUAUGGGGACAGAAAAUGAGCAAAAAGUAUCAUUUUAGAGGCGGUGACAUCUUUUGAUACAUGGAUUUGACACGCCUUUUUUGGGGUUUCGGGAGCUCAAAAUGACCUAAAUGUCCUUGCCCAAUCCACAAUGUUCAACGAUGUCCUGCAAGGAAAGGCACCAAAAGUCACGUACUGCGUUAAUGGACAUAUGUACGACGGGCCAUACUACCUAGCAGACAACAUUUACCCAAAGUGGUCAUCAUUUGUUAAAACAGUGCCACGUCCGCAAAGUGCAAAGGAAAAACACUUAGCAAGCUGUCAAUAGGGGUGUAGGAAGGAUGUGGAGCGUUGUUUUGGUAUCCUCUAAGCUCACUGGAUGAUUGUCAGGGGUGCUGCGAGAAUGUUUGAUGUAAAGUCGCUUCGAUCCAUCAUGAUGACGUGCAUCAUUCUUCAUAACAUGAUUGUGGAAAAUGAGUACGAUUAUGAUGUCGUUGAUGAAUAUGAGCCAAACACGAUGAACAAUUCAAGAACAUGUAUAUAUUGUGCUCAUGACGCCACCGAAGAACCCGUGCAACAUGAGCCAUUAGAAAGGGAUGGAUGUUACAAUGAAUUGAUCGUUCAACAAUAUACUGCACUUCAAAGGCCAUAUAUGCACAAUGCCCGAUAAAUUGACUUGAUAGAGCAUCAGUGGGAAUUGAAACAAGCUCAAGAUACUUAAGUUCAUUUAGUGUAUUUGUUUUUUAUUUGGUGUGUUUAUUUAAUUUUAUUUGGUGUGUUUUUUUUAGUUCAUUUAGUGAGUUUUUUUUAUUAUUUGGUAUGUUUAUGUAAUUUUAUUUGGUGUGUUUAUGUCAUUUGAAAUAAAUUACCAAAAAGUACUUUAUUCAUCAUCACUUUAAAUAAAAUACUAAAUUCAAUAAAUUGGAAACAACAUAAAGUAUUCUAUUCAAUAAAUAAUAAAUUACAAUCCAAAAUGAUUGGAAAAUUAUGGGCUCCGAUUACAAAAAGUACUCUAUUCAUCAUCACUUAACCAAUUUUGAAGACAUCGCAUGUACUUCGACUAUGCUCAACAUUAGCUCUUAACCAUGUCUCACAUGUGGCAUAGUGAAGUGAGGUGAAUCUUGGAAUGAUUUGAAUAUUCGCAACUAAGGUCAUAUCGUUGAACCCCCAAGAUAUUGCGGUAUCCCUAAUGGUAAAGACAUAGACAUUUGGGGAUGUCCCUUGUGUGGGUUUGAUAAACAUCUUGCGUCAACAUAACAAACAAGGCUAGGAUCAUUCUGAUGAUCAAGGGAUCGGAUCUGCUCGAGAUGUGUUGGGAUUAGCCCAAAUCCGUAGUACCUUUAGGGUAGCAAAAAAAUGUCCUUAUUACCAAUUCAGUGGUUGCAUGUAGGCGCGAUACUACAUCUUUAUUAAUAGAUUAACAACGAAUGAGAUAUCAUGUCUAACAUAAUGAGCUAAGUACAACAAAGCGUAAAGUUGAACUCAGAUAUGGAACUUUAGAUUCCAUAACCUUUUCAAGGGUCUCAAACAACGUUGGAACUUCAGGUCAAGGCAUAAAUGAGUCCUCAUCUCAAUUCCCAUCCUUAGGUGUUAGACAGUUUUCUCAAGCUUUUCUAGAGUCCUAAUGAGAUGCAUGUCAUCGACAUAAACUGUGACUCUAGCAAUUCGGAAUAUGACUUCAUAGUUUAACACGUAAUGGCAUAAUUCAUAUCUCUAAUUAAUCAAAUAAUCACUUAGACAUGUAUACCACAUCUGCCAGAUUGCUUCAAUUUGUAAGUGAACACCUCAAACAAGUUAAGAGGGUGUUUGUGGUCUAACUAUCUAAACCAGUUCAUGUAAUUCUUCGAGAACUUACAUGUCAAUCUCCGUAUCAAUAUUCCUAUUGAGAAACACUAACCACAUUCAUAAUUCUACAGUCAAUCACAGGGCGUUUAAGAGAAACAUUGUGUCGUAAGUAAUGUUAUUUCAUUCAUCUCAUUACGUUUCCUUUCCCACUUGUAACACAACAGGGUUACCUUGGACAAUGUAGGAACGACAUGUCCAAACAAACUUUGGUAAGGAAUUUAACCUAGAUUGUAAUCUUGGUUGUCCAAUCAGUUCUAUGUUAUCACUAAUCAACGGAACGUAAUUCGAAAUCGUCGCUUUUCAUUUAUGUUUGUAGUUACCAUAUAAGUGAAAACAUCAUUGAUGAUAAUCUCAUUCCAAUUCCAUAUCUCAUCUAAACUAGUAUACUGGACCAAGAACUUCAAGUCUCAGGAGUAAUCCGGAUUAAUCUCUUGAGGUGGAAAUUAUUUGAGAUGACAAUCGAUCAUGAAUUCACGUUGUGUCGUGAUCUUUCUCUUUUAGGGAAGUGAAUCUUAUGAACCGAGUGAUAUGUCGUGCUUCAGGCCAAGAACAGAUUGAUUGACAAUCCACCAGGGUACCAAGUCGCCCAACAUAGACAACUAACACCCUUCAGGAAUGUUGACUCAACGUCCAUUAAGUACAUAUAUCCUUGCAUGCAUGUUUGUAGCUAGUAUAUGAUCUCAUCACUUUAGCUAGAUCAAAGAAAUGCGACUGGACCAACAUUCUGAAAGUUAGAAUACAUCACACAUACUUAUCACACUUGUGUGGAUAUGAGACAUAGUGGGCAACGUCCACGCAAAUCUAUGUCAUUAUACAGGAACUUUGACAUUCUUAUCUCCCUCUAACAGCGAGAAGACUAUCUCAUUGAAGUGACAAUUCACAAAAUGAGUGGUAAGGAAAUUGCAUGCAAGGGUUGCAAAGAGCUAGUGCGAAGAAAAAUCAUAAUCGACAAAGAUUCACAUUCUUCUUUGAGGAACCAUAUUGGUAUGUUGCGGUGGCGCAAACUUGGCACAUGGAAUGCACACCCAAAUGUGUAAGUAUGAAACGUCAGGUUCGUCCCUAGAAACCAACUGUAAUGUCGAAUAGGCUGGGUGGCAAUGGCCUUAAAGUAGAUCAACAUAAUGGUGUACAUGAUUGCAUAGCUCUAGAAAUAUGAUCACUUUGUGAGGCUGUUUUGGGGUGAACAUGGGAAUUCAAUGUCCAAUUAUAAACCCCAAAAAAAAAAAUGCAAUACUUCUCAAAAACCUUCGAUAUAAACUUUCUGGUAUUGUUUAGUAUUCUAGACUUUAUAGGAUAAUUAGGGUGGUGGUGCCUUGAAAUCGGCCAGGAGGUUUAGCAGUAGUGUGUGUGGAUAAACAUGUGACCAGUUUGUUGAUUCAUCAGCCAAAACCAUAAGUAUUUAUAUUGCCCACAUUUUGAUUGGAUUAGUCCACAUAUAUUCCCUUGAAUACACUGUGAAAAGAGGGCCAUUUCGUAUCUUUGCUAGGGAUGAUUUAGAAAUCCAAUUUCCCAAAUGAAUAAGCUUGGCAAAGUGUGCGCUUGCAAACACAAGAUCCUUACUUUGGGUAAGGAGAUGCGUUUCGGCCUAAGUGUACCAAACGGUCAUGCCAUGGCAAGUAAACUACUCGAAUCACCCGGCUCUAAGCCGGCCACACAUGGCGUAUCCUAGUGGGGAGGUAGCCUAUUGGCCCUAAAAUAAAACUUUAGGUUCAUUUUGGGGGUGAUGCAAAGACAUUCCACUCUAUGUUUCAUCAGUGGUUUCAUUCAUAAUCAUUGUUCUCUCGAUUAUCCUAAAGACUCAACGAUGUUCUUCAGGAAUGAGAAGAACAUAAGGUUUCUUAAAUGGUAAUGUAGUACCAUUUAUACAACGAGAAGCGUGCCAAUGCUCCUAAUCAGGUUGGAUAAACUUAAAGUCGUAGUUAGAGAUGUGAUUUAGGUAUAAGUUAGUGUGCGUAGUGUCGCAUUUAUCCAGACAACUAAUUUUCCCACAUUCGAGGACAAUAUCGAUAAGAUUAUCCACAAAGUCGAUAUGAUUAUCCACAAAGUAAACCAAAGUUACUAAAGAGAUUCUCCCAACAAGGUCAUCCAUGUCAAAAUUUUGGAGAAAAAUUAGUCUCACAUAUUGAUUACGAGAAUGGUACUCCUUAACGACAUUGGUAGGGGCAUGAAGAGGUGCAUAACCAAUGAGUCUAGUCCACCAAAAUGGAAGUAGAUUAUGCAAGGUUGAGGUUCAUGAACAAUAUCCCUUAUUCUUGAAGUUUUAGGUCUUAAAUGCCAAGGAUCACACUUCGAGUUGUGAUGCCACACCUUGACAGGCCCUAAUUCUACCAUAUGUUGUAAAAACAAACUCGAAAUUAGAGAGGCAAACCCAUACUUGAGUUCGAAAGGUUCCAAUCGAAGCUGGAGAGGUUUGUUCGGUAUGCCUCUACACUGAAGCAGAGCAUAUAUUUUGGUGGGCUUUGACCAAACUGGGUCAAGCCAUUCGGUAAACUUCGGCCUAACUGGGCUUAUACUGUUCGGUAGACUCUAGCCGAAGUUGGGUCUAUACCUUUCUCACACGUUUUUUGUAGUAAUCAGAUUUGAGAAUUUGGUAAACUUCCACUCUCUAUGCUGCUGUUUCGAAAGCGAGUUAAAAAUAAGAAAUGAUGAGAAAAGUAUUCUCUAAUCAAAAUUCGAUAGGAUUUAUAAACUUCAAAAUCGUACUCAUUCAUGGACGUAAUCAUGGUAUGCUUCAGGCAAUAACUUUCAUGAUUAAAUGGUCUGUAAGAGUGAGCCAACGAGCCAUGGAAUCCUUGUUAGGGAGGUACUUCCAUUUGUUAUGUUUCAAGCAUAAGUCUUUGAAUGAAGAUCAUGACAGAGGCUUAUUCAGCUCUUCUUUACCAUUGUUGGCUACAAAUGGUUUCUCAGCUUCUUGAUAGUCAAGUGGAGAUUCACGUCUUAUAGCCACAUAAAGUGGUUUCAGUUAGAAACGUCCAAAUCAGUGAAAUCAAAUUUGUGACAAUCCAUUGAAUGGAGGGAACAAGAUUGUGAAUAGUGCUAUGGAAAAUAAAACAUCUAGAAGCAUCAAAGUUAGAACAUCCGAAUUCUAAGACAUGUACAUGAAAGUUGGACGUGGAAAAAUUAUUAAUGAGUUUAAAUAAAAUUUCACAUAAUAAUAUAGUCACAAAUAACUGUGUGAAUGGGGAGUUGAGGAGUUCCCGCGAGGGAAACUCGGGUCAAACAAAACAAGGGGUAAUUUUAUUUAAACCCAUCUAACCUAUUUCUACACCCAAUUUACUCUUUUCACCCAUUUGAUUUUUAACUAAACUAUUAUUAUCUCUUUAAACCAAAAUUUAAUACCUAAUAUACCCUUAUAAACCUAAUUCAGUAUGUAGAUUUAUUUUUACACCCAUUCAAAUUUUUAGUCAGAUGUAAGAUUGAAAUCGAAGAAGAAGACUAGGAAGGAGAAGGAGCUGCUCCUCCAUUUGUUAGCCAUCACUCCAUCAACGCCUUUUCUCCCCCUGCUAAAUCUUCCCGCCAUCGUGAAUCUACCGUUUGGCAGCCUCUAGAUCGUCAGACCCGCGGGGAGUCGAAUCGACCGGCACUCCGUCGUCGUCGCGCGGGGAUUUGGUUUCUUUGGACUCCUCGAUGGGUCCCAUACACUUUGCGCGACCCUUUUAUACAGACCUCAUUUGUGAGCUUCUAUGCUGAGCUUGGUAAGUUGUGCGAUGCGCAUAAGGUGUUUGAGGAAAUGUCUGAACCAUGUAUGGUUGCGUGGAAUGCGAUGAUUGAUGGGUUUAGGAAGAAUGGGGAAAUGGGUUAUGCUAUUUUGUUAUUUGAAAGCAUGCCGAAAAGGGACGUGGUUUCAUGGACAAGCGUUAUAAGCGGGUUUGGGAGAAAUGGGUGUGGUUGUGCUGUUUUGAGUCUCUUUGCUUCCGUAAAUUAUGUCUCUAGUUUCGGUCGGAAUGGGUGCUCUGAGAACGUCAUUUCUUGCAUUGGAUGCAUGGUGUGGUUACUUUGCAAUCAAGAGGUAGGAUUUGUUAAAUAAACUCUCUUUAUCUUCCUGCAGUUAUUGAUGAAUAAUUUGUGAAUGUAAUAUCAUUCACCCGUAUCUUUAUCCUUAAUUUGUUAAUGGUAUUAACCUUUUUGCAGAUUUGCAUUUAAAUGUCAUAGAAAAUCAGAGGCUGGAAGGGACAUUGUGUAUCCAGUAAAUGCAAUUGCAUUCCACCCCGUGUAAGUUACUUUUUUCUAUUAAAGUAUUGCGUACUAAACUUGUGAACUUGUGUGUGUUGAUUUAUUGAAGUCAUGAAAACGAUAGGCCAUAUCUGGUUUCCUGUUGAAGGCAUCUUGUGACUACAAUAAUAACAUAUGGGAAUUUCAUAGUAGUAACUUAGUUCAUGGUUUAUUCUUUGGUUGAAUGGUUCAAAAAAUAAGGAUCAAAAUUGUUCCUUGUUUUUGCGAUAGAUUAUGGCUUAGAUUAUACUUGAUCCGUUAGUUGGGAAUGUUUAAAACCUAAAUUAAGCUCGAGGGGAGCUUAAUAAUUUCAUAUAUACGUAGCUCAUGCUUUAAUAAAGUUUAUCAAGAGAGUUUGAGAAUGAGAUUCUUGUACAUUAUUGACUGUCAUGUUUUCAAGCUAUUUUGCCCUCUCGGGACAAAUUGAAAAGAGCUAUACAUACUUUCGCUUGAUGAGAGUUGCGAUCAUACUGCUUAUUGUAUGAGAGCAAUGAUGCUAGCAGUUUCUUUUUAGUCCACGUGCAUUUCUUUUAUUAGUUCUUUUCUGAAAUUCAAUUGCAGCUAUGGUACUUUGGCUGUUUCUCAGCAGCAGCCAUGUUGGCAAGGCGCCAGGAAUACCUUUACCUGGGGGGUUUGCUUUCUUCUGGCCUUUCUAUGCUAAUUUGGUUACACUUUGCUUCUUCUGUCUUUGGGGGUUUUGCAGCUCUUUUCAAGUUUGAGGUAAGGAAUUAUCAAUUAGUCAUGUGAAUGAUGGGCAAUGCUACAUUUUGUGUAUAAAAGCUAAAACAGGGUGAUAUAUGUGAAGGAAUAUAAUGAGAUUUAUGUGGGAUUUCUAGUGACUAGCAUGCAUAUACAAUUCAAAAUUUAUAUACAUUAGCAACGGAAGCAUGUUAUCACAUAAUAUCAAAGCUAUAGUCAUGCAAAUCCCCUUCAAGAAGCAUAGGUUCAUAUAUGAUGCAUCUAAGAAAUUAUUGAAGAACAAAGUGAAGGUAUAGUUUUAUACCUCUUGAUCUAGACUUGAGACCAAGGAUUGACCACCUUCAAGCUCUUUGUUCUUGGAACUCCUUAAGCCUAGCCUCCCUCCUUGCUUCCUCCACCUUGCUAGAAUGAGUGCUCCUUGGCUCUCCUUUAGUCUCCAAGGUUGAAGACCUCUAAAGAUCCACACCCACUAGUGUAGUGAGAUGGAUGGAGGAAUAACCAAAAGGGAGAGAAGAUGAUUAGCUACUUCUCCCUUAUGGUGGCCGGCCUUGUGUGUGUGUUUGGAGAGAGAGAUGUUUUCUUCUUUUGUGAAAAAUGAACACACAAAACCCUAAUGAAACUUUUUACUAAAAGUUCCUUUUAUAUCUCAAAGAUAGUUAGCCAACAACUUGACUCCCUCUCUCUCCCUUUCCCUUUAUUUGGCCGGCCCCUUUAGUGUUGUUUGGGCUUUGGGCUUUUAUUAUUUCAAGUCAUCAUAUGCUUAAAUAAAAGCCCAAUGGGUUUGGGCUUAAUGGGCCCAUAUUAACCCGAACUUUUCUUUAAGUCCAAAAACGAUCUUUCAUCGCUUCUAUGAUUUCUUUAGACUUUCUAAUUAAUCAUAACACUUAAUUAAUCCAAUUAAUUUAUUCCAUCAUCCAUUAGUUGUCUCAUUACAAGAGUGUAUCGGUGUACAAUUAUUUUGGGUUCUAAUUAGCAAGGUAGUGAGGUGAUUGGCACCAAUCCAAUUGAUUAUAUUUAAUCCAAUCACUUAGUGAAUUAAAACUUACUUUUAAUUCUCCUUCUUCUUUGACGACUACUUAUUUAAUCAUCUAGAAGAACUCACAAGCUAUGAGUGACAUCUAACCAUAUAUCAUGGUUACCCAAGCUAAUGUAGAAUUUGUUCGGAGAACCUAUUCAGUUGGAAUUACAAUGUAAUUCGAUCAUUCUUUAAAACAAUACUCUCAAUCACAUUAUUAGGGUAUGGAUAUAUUAUGUCAAACCCCUAAUGUGAUUAUUCCAUGUUAUAUGAUUCAAUUGAGUCGUAUAGGAACGAUUUCCUUUAUUACGCUCGAUACUUCGGCCGAAUAUUCCCGAAUCAUAUCUUAAAGUAUUCAUCCUCUCAUAACGAGGAUUAGAGAUCCCUUGUUGAUCAUUCACAUGCCUCUGAGAAUAAAUCAUUGACCUCAACAAUGCAUAGAACACACCCAAGAUGAGGUGUGGUCACGUCUCGUUAUCAAAAUGAUCAACAACGUAUCCCCAAGACAACUAUGAUGUCUCAGGUCAAAGAAUUACUUACAUUAUUCCAACCAUUAGAGUUGUUUGCUUCACAUGUAAGUAGACCUCCAUGCAAGUACUCUCGUUCGAUUGUGUUCAGUGAACUCAUUCCCAUAAUGAGCACCUACAUACCUGUCUUAGUGUCACUACACGAAUGGGAUGAGACUUUCCAUCAUUCCAAUUGAAGGGGACAUAGUAUGUACUGGUCUAUGCAUUGUCAGUAUCCCUCUGACAAUCCUAUGACUAGGAACCUUUUUGGACAUGAUGGUUAUGUGAAGAAGGUAUCUGUAGUCUAACAUCAUUAGAUUACUUCUUCCAUCGAUCCAUUGUCCAUGGAUUCACUAUUUAUGACAUAUAUCGUUUAUUGAGACAGUCCUAAUUAGUAUCUUUGCCUUUUGAUGUAUAAGAGUCAUCUAUACACUCAUUCAUUGUCCUGAAAGGUUUCUUCCAAAGAUUGACUUUCAGGGCAUAUCUCCAACAUUCUCUGAAAUUGUGUUGCAGCUGUAUUUCAGUUUUGUUGCUGUGUUUGUCCAUAUACUGGUUAUCAUGGUAAGUUCUCGUUAAUGCUUUAAGAGCAAAAUCCUUAUCUCGGUCUUGUUUUCUAUCAUAUUUAUGACUGUUGGUGCUUAGACCAUCUCCUCUUUUAUUUUAUAUUGUGAGAUGUUAUAUCUGUUAGGCUAAGUAGACUUGUUAACUAAAACGACUAUCGUUUCUUUACCACAGUUGAAGAACUUGGCCGAGAAGAAUGAGAAUAAGAAGAAAAGAAAGGAUUGAUGCUCCUUCUGUAACCCUGGUGAUGCAAAGCAAUGCAAAAUGAGAUCAUCACUUGUCUAUAUAGAGUUUUCCAUGUGACCUCAAAAACAAAAUGUGUAGUUGAUAUAUUCCCUACUCUUUGGUGGGUGGUAGACUGAUAGUGAUUGUCUAGUGUUGCUGCCGUUAAACUUCUACUUACUGUUUUGAAUGACAUCGUUUUAAUUCGUGACGAAGUUUAUUGUUGUGUUAAUAAACUGGCUAGCUCCUCCAUCUGCACUACUUGUAUGUUGGUAUAGCAGGUUUCCAAGUAGCGAUUUGAUACUUCUGAGUCCUUAUGGAACAAUUUUCGCCACGUCCAAUGAUCGAUCGGUGGCAAUAACCCCAGGAAGACAAUAGCCAUGAAGCAAUGUCUUUAAUCUAGUCAGGGCCCAAGUGUAAUUGUCUUCUUUCUCAGCCUCUAUAUACACAAAAACAACUGAGAAUGUCAUAUUAGUGGAUGUCACACCCACAAUUUUAAGAGUGGAAAACGAUACCUGUUAGUCUUAUAUGUGCAAUCCAUGAUAAGUACAUGUGGGAAUGCUCGUAAUAUCUCAAUACUAAUAGGGUGAGCCCAGAAAAUGUCAGUCACAGUAUCACCACAACUUCUCGAAAGUGCUAGUCGAGGGCGACUCACAAGCAAAUGUUAGUCGAGGGCGACUCACAGUAUUACCUUCACCUCCUAAAUCAGACCUUUUAAUAAUAAUUACCAUAUUAUUCAGCUUUCCCUGUUCACAAACCCAUGUAAUCAAUGCAUCUUUUCCUUUGAAUAUCUGCACGUAACACAUAUUUUAUUUCGAAGUAAAAUUCUAAAAUUAACUAACCCGUCAACGACACUAUAAAUAUAUAAUUACCUCAUAAGUUGUAAAUUGAUCAGUAUAAUCCACCACACAUUCUUGUCCAACCUCGUUACCUCGAUCAAAGGCAUCAUUGAAUUCUUGUUGCUAAAAAAUAAAUGACAAAAUUAUGAUUACAAUAAAAAAUCUUCAAGUUAUGAUUAAAACAAAUGGACAAAUAUAGCUAACUGCAGCAAUGUUUUCAUAUUACUGACUAAAAACAAAUCAAGCCCCAUUUUAUAGUAAACAACAGACAACUUCAACUACCUUUCGGUUUCCUCUUACACAACAAAUGGAGUUUGGAAUAUGUAGGACCAACAAUAACUUUCAUAUUGGGAGGGAGAGGGAGACCCCCGAAAAAUACAAUCAGAGAUUAUCCUUGCUUUCUGACUUACAGUAAUCAGGUUUAUAGGGACAAGGCUCACCUAGAUCCCGACAUGUAUCCCUCAAAGUUAGUAAAACUAAAGAUGGCAAUGGAUAUUUUGUAAUCCAAUAAUUGCUUAGUGCAGAGAUUUUCCAGUGCAGGAAACAAUGUUGGAAACUUUGAGCCAAUAAACCAUUUGCUUCUAAAAUGUUUUAGUCCUUGGGAAAUCGAAAAAUAAACCCCCAAAAGAGUCAACAAGACUGUAGAAUCAAGGUUCAAGAUUUUUCUCGAAAAAAAUCCCUUCACAUCAGUGGCAAUUCAAUGGGAAAGUCCAGACUUCCUCAACUCAAAAAAUCUUCCAUAAAGCAAAAAAUUAUAAGCUCAUGAAGGACUCACCACCCAACCAAACAUGACUGAAAGAUAUACACAUGCGGAACAGAAACCUUAAAGACAUCGUUCAAUUCGACAAGUUCUAAACUUUAAAAAAUUGAAAUCGAACGAACAAAAUAUUCAUAAAUUGAGUCAUACCUUGGUUGGAGGAUUCAAAACUUCAAAAUCACCAUCCAUCAAUAGAAAAUUUUAUUUUUCUCUAUGAGAGCUAUUAGGGUUUUAGCAGAAUGAACGUAUGAUAAACAAAGAAUGAUCGUAGGGUUUAAUUAUAAUGUUUGGGUUUAUUGAUAAAUUUGAGUUUUAUUAUUAAUUUCACUUUGUACUUAAUAGUAAUUAUACAAUAAGGUAAAAUAGACAAUUAACAUUCAAAAUUUUAAGUUUAGUGUAAAAAGAGAUUGCAUGAAUUUAAAUAAAAUUUCCCCAAAACAAGGCGCCUCUUUUCUUUUCGUUCUGGAGUUUUAUCAACCCGAACAAACAAACAACCCAAAAAAUAAUUAGAGACUCGUGAAACGAAAGAAAUCAAAACCGAAUUUCGAACCUGAAAAAAAAAAGGAAAAAAAAAGAAGAUAGGGAAAAUGGAAGCAGAGAUGGGACUGAUGCGUCGGAUGCCUCCCAAGUACACCGAGACGGCUCUAUCCGCCCUUCUCUCCCUUCUCCCCCAGCACUCCUCUGAUCUCCUCUCUCAAGUCGAUCAGCCCCUCCAGGUUCUCCCCUGUUUGUUUCCCGAGAAAAUCCAAUCCAAUUUUCACUUUCCAUUUUCUUUCUCAAGGGUUUCAUUUUAAUCCAAAAAAAAAAAAAAAAAAAACAAACAAACAAAAUGUUCUCUUCAAAUUCAAAUUUUAAAGUCACCGUGCUGCUCUCUGGUUUCCCGAAAUUCAGGUUUUGUGCGAUAUCGAAUACGGAAAGCAGUUCAUUUUGUGUGAAUAUAACAGAGACGCAGACUCUUACAGGUAAAACCCUCAAAUCUUUGUCAAUUUUGAUGGAUUGGUGUUAGUUUUCUGAUGUUUUACACUUUAAUUGCUACAUUUUUUAGGGACAUUUUAGAGGUAGCAGAUCUGGCCUUGAUUUGUGAAUCUGGAUGUUUGAUAUAUUUUGAUUAAUAUAACUUAUUGUUUUGGUUCAUAUGCUGAUUUAAUUGGUGUGAUUAGUGCAAUACAUGUAUAACUAUGUAAUCUAGUAGUUUAUUUUUUCGUAUAAUCGUUUCUGUUCUGUGAAUAUCGAUUGUCCAUGUUGAUAUUUUUGUGCUACUAUAUUUCCAUGUAGAUCGCCUUGGUCAAACAAAUAUCAUCCGCCACUAGAAGACAGCAGCCUCCCAUCUUUAGAGUUGAGGAAACUUGAAGUUGAAGCAAACGACAUCUUCGCCAUUUAUCUUGACCAGUGAGGUCCUUUACUUACCUUGUUCUUGUGUUAUUCUUUGCAUUGGUUGAACUGUAUAAAACACUUCUAAAAUAAUAUUUCUUCCAUUAGCUAAUUUAAAAAAAAAAGAAAAAAGAAAAAAGAAAAAGGCAAGAAUGUGUUGAAAGUAUCGUCGUGCAAUUUAUUUAGCAUAAUGGUUCAGUUCUUUGUUUCAUUCUGAAGAUUUCAUACAGCUUGGUUAACCGGUAAUUUGGUAGGUACUAUUUUUUAUUUUUUUUUAUUUUUUAUUUUUGAAUCUAGUGUCUCCGGGUCUUUGACCCGACUACUCACUCGGCCACCCGCCUGACCCCACAACAUUUGGUAGGCAAGAAACUCUAGCAAUUGCUAGGUGGGUACCUUGAGAGGUGUCGAACCCCAGACCUCUUGGUAACAAACCAAGGGCCUGACCAUUAGACUAAACACUCUUAGGUAAUUUGGUAGGUACUAUGAAGGUGGCAUUUCGUCAGUUUAUAUGUGGGAGGAUGAUAACGAAGGUUUUGUAGGCUGCUUUUUAAUAAAGGUAUACUGCCUAAACUUUCAAUUUAUGUUCUUGUACAUGUAUAUAUGCUGAUUUUUAUUAUUUGAUGCCCCGUUUGUUUGCCUUCACUAAGUUUCAUUGGACUAGACUGGACUAACUCUUAGUCCAGUCCAAUGUUUGGUAUCACGCGGGACUCACGUUAAUGAGAUUAAGUGGGAUUCGCACGGACUAAAGCUUUCACUGUAGGUUCUUAGCGAGAGUCCUCGACAACCAUGGGACUAGCUAAGACCUGCUUUGUUCCUCCGCUUCGCUCGUCUGCAUCACUUCGCGAACUCUUUUUGCUUCGCUUCGGAUCGUCGACCCAACACGCCAACUCCCCCAGCGGGUCUCAAAUCGCCAGACUCUCGCUCGGAGAAGAGUCUAGGUUGGUCGGAUCUGGGGCCUGGGAAGAUGAUAGUGGUUUGAUCAGAACAGUCCCCUCCGAGCAUUGCCAUCUCACCGUUGAUCACAAAAAGGGUCUCCCAGAAAUCAAAUGGCCACGCAUCUCCGUCCCUCAUCAUCUCCACCCAAAUUUCAAGUUUCCCCUCCUCUGUUCUUUCUACUGUACAUCGUUCCCAAUCAGCAAAAGGGAACCGGAAUUAGAUAUUCCUGUCUCGGAGGCCGCGUGGCUGGUGUUUUUCUGUAAAAAGGGAGAGAAAUGGUAGGUGUUGACGAAGACGACAAGUAAUUGGAUAGAUAGAUGCAGAUUAUCAAAGUUUAGUUUCAUUGAAAAAUGGAAAAAGACAUCAAUAUUGAAUCUAAAAUAUGUUAGUCCGAGAUCUAGUCCGGGACUGCACCAAACACUUAACUAUUUUUAUCCUGGUUAGUCCAAGCCAAGCCAGUCCAGCUUAGUCCUUGAAGUUAGUCCAGUCCGAGUUAGUCCAAUGCAACAAACGCACCCUGAGGGGUUUCAGAUGGCUCCAAGACAGGACAAGGUAGGAGAGGUUAUCUGCAGGAGGGGGCAUGGGAUGCUAUACAUGUGAUUGAGGUAAACUCUACUUGUCAUGGUAGGAACAACGUGGAUCUGUGGUGAAGGUGUUCAUAUAGUCCUGACACUCACCCCCUUUCACACUUACAUGUGAUUGAGGUAUACACUUAAUGUUCUUUAUUUAGUGUUGACCAAAAAAGGAGUUUCAACACCUUUUAGCUAUUUAAAGUUAUAGUGAACAACUCUUCUUUCUCUUGAUAGUUGUGAUAUGAACUUGCUGUUAGUUUGAAUGGUGCCUUUGUUAGGUCGAGUCAUUUGACAUGAUUAAUCAAAUUGGUUGAGUUAGGAUUGAUUCGGGAUGGACACAAAGUGAGGAAUAGAGAGCUGGAAAAUUUGAAAUUGAAGAUCAAAUAUGUGAAGAAUAGUGCUAACUGUGAGAAUGUGAGGACAAAGAUAGGUGAGUGACCAAACUAUGCAAAGGGCUUAUAAGAGGUUGAGUUGCUCUUCAUAUUGUCAAUUAGUUUUAUGAUGGAACCUUAACUUUCUUCAUGGUAUAUGAAUAGGUUGACCCAUGUGUAAAGCCUAAUGGCCACAUGUGCUCACAUCGCCCUGUUUGUAUCGUCCACAUGUUAGGCUUGAAAAUUCGCCAUAUAUGAGGGGGCGUGUGAGAAUGUGAAGACAAAGUCCCACAUUGGUGAGGAAACAAAACAUACAAGGGCUUAUAAGAGGUGGGACUAUUCCCUAUAUAACAUAUUGCCAAUUAGUUUUAUGGUAAAAUCUCAACUUUCUUCAGUAACAAUGCAUGAAGAUGAUGAUAUCAUAAGAAUUAUUAGUGGAGCGUGAGAGGGCUUUCUUAAGUUUAGGAGACAAAACUAAUAAUGUUUCAAUAGAGAAAAAUGAGAUUUGAUAGAAGAAUUGUAAUAGCUCAUGUGGAGCUAGGUUUAAGGAAAGGGAAUUUAUUACCCUUUUGGGGAAAGUAUGGGGGAAUUUUUGCUAUAUAAGGUUUUUUGGUCGAGUGAGUAUUGAUAGAAAUUUUCAGACUCCAUUUAGAUUUAAGGUGAGUGAUUGUUUACUUUAGUGGUAGUCUAGGGUUCAUGCCCUUCGCUAAGAGCAAGUCCACCCCUAAAGACUUUGCGCUAGUACCUAGCGCAUUUAUCCACUCAAGUAAAUAGUAAUAAACCCUAGUGAACAGUAAUAGGCCAAAGCAUCUCCACUCCUAAACAAAAAAUAGGCUGGUCAAUUUAUUAAAAUAUUAUUAUUUUUAUUAUAAAAUAAUAUUUUAUUUUUACUUUUUGACUUCUUCCCUUCAUCUUCUGCAACUUCCCAUCCCUUCCACAUAAAAAAAAACCCGACUCUUAGAAUCAUUGCUCCAACCCCAAAACUCCAAUCCCAGAAUUCCACUUUCCUAGAAAAGCUCAAAAGUUCCAAUCUUAGGUGGUUGAAUCGCGGGAGGCAGUCGGAUUUGGAGGAAAUGCACAUGCAGAUUUGGAGGAGCUCACAGGACGGGAAGCGGGAAGCGGGUGGAAGCUGCUCAUGGAGGCGAAUUAGCCGCUGCCGGUGGACAAAAGGGGGGUUUUGAGAGUGAGGUCGAGCUUGGCGAUGUUGACGGCUCCGUGGCUCCUUCCCUCCGUGGCUCCUUGCCCUUCGACACCACGCUGACGUCGGCUAGGCGUCACUUGAGACGGUCCCAAGGUCUGUCAAUUUUAAGCCGGCCUGUGGACUGGCUUGGGCUGGGUGCCAGUCGAUUCCACGGGCUGGAAUAGAUUGGCUGAGUCUCAACCUGUUUUUUCCACUAGGUGCUGGCCUAUCCCACCCCCGGUGGACUUGCUCUAAAAGUUUGGGGCAGGACAUUUUUGAUGUGGUGAUUUACAUCUAUGAUAUUUAAAAUUGAUAAAAUCAGUCUCUAAGUUUGUUCACAAUCAAUUAUUUUGGUCAUUUCAUAAAAAUUAUUCGUUAAAUAAGAAUAAAAUGACAAAAAUACCCUCAAUUUUUAUCAAAUUAUUUUGGCAUAUUGUUUAUUAAAUUGAGAGUAUUUUUUCUCAUUUUGAUCCUUACUUAAUAAAGUUUUUCACGGAAUGACCAAAAUAAUUAAAACUGGACAAACUCAGGAACCACUUCUGUCGCUUUCAAAUCUCAAGGACCAAGUGAAGAGUUAUAUCAGUCUCAAUAUCCACUUUAGCUAAAAAGCCCAAGGUAAAAGCCCAAGAUAACAUUACCCUUUACCCCUUAAUUUUAAAAAACUUGCAAUGAAAGGGGGCUCAAAAAAAUAAUUUUGAAUUGGAAAAAAAUAGAAGCAGAUUUGAGGUUCAAAUAGAACCAUCAUAAAUUCAUUUGUUUUCUAUUGGAAAAAAGGUUAGUUUUUGUUGCCAUCUUGGUCUGUGUUUAACUAGUUUUCUUUUAGUUGGAGACGCAUACGAGGUUGUGAUAGGUUUCGGGGAUGGGUAGUCUGGACUUGACACCCCAACAACUGGACCACUGACCCUUAGUGGAACAGAGUUGUCCUUGCUGAAUUCAAGAGAUGUCCAGUGUAAUGGUUCAGCUUUAGCCAGGCGAAUUUCAACUUUGGUGGACAGAACGUCAAAUCUGCACUUUGUAGGUAUUAUCUUUCCAAAUAAGCGAGGCUGAAAAUAGUAUGCAUCUUCACCAGCAACAUCAAUGCUAACACUGAGUAUUUGUUCACCAAAUUCAACAUUAACGUCUGCCAUGCCCUUGGUGAAUAUAGUCACAACAACCACUUCUGGCUUCUGGUAGAAUUCAUGCCUGUAUUUUGGCUUGACAGAUGCUACGGCCAACUCGAAGGGGUUCUAGAUGAACGCCUCCUUCACACGCUUUUUGAGAUCGGAGCCAUGGGCGGACAACCGUCAGUGUGGACUGAGGGAGAUGGAAGAGUCUAGGAAAGAAGAGUAUACAACUAUAGUUAAUUGUUGAUUUCUUUACAUCUUUGAGAUACGAAACUAAAUACAAUUUAUAGUAUUUAAAAAAAUAAAAAAUACCUUGAUAAAUUAAUAAAUUUUUAAUUCAUCGAUCAUUUAAUAUUUUGCUAAAUAAUAGUCUUCCUGGGUCUCGAGGCUAUUAAUUAAAGAAGUUUAAUUAUAUAGAAAACCAAAAGCAAAAAUCGGGCAAAAUAUAAAAAUAACCAAAACCUAAACUUAGGUGCUAAAAUUUGGCAAAUAUACGAUAUAACUCUAAUAAUUUCGGAAGUACAAACCUCGUCAGAUGAAGUAUUGCUCGGUACGGCACCAAUCUCGUCAUUGCUAGAGAUGCGUCACCGCCAUCACCAUCAUCCCAGAAUAGAUUAACUCCUGUUUUCAUCAGUCUCCCUCUCCCAUGAGCCUCUGUAACUGCAGAAAUCGAGACUUCGUCCCCACUUUGCAAAUGGAGUACAUCAUUUGAUAAUACACUUUGCAAACGGAGUACACUGUUAGCUACACUGGAAGUAGAAUCUCCCCAGAUGUGCAAAGCCUUACCCUUUGUAAAUUUGUAACAGUUAAUCCAGGACGAUAUGUUUCGAAAACACAGCACAGAGUCAAUCCUCUAAAAUUAUGACCAAUAAAUUGAGGCACUUUAAAAUGAACAUUUUUGGGCUCAUGAAUAACAACAAACUGGAACCACUCCGGAAUAUCAUAAAUUCCAUCGAGAAAAAUGUCACUAUGUCCGCAAGAAGUCCAUCCCUAGAGCAUACCAUGUAAAGCCCGAUUAAUUUGUAUAAGCAAUAGCCUUAAUUAUGCAUGCGUGUGUCAUGUACAUGUACAGUACAGGUCCUCUGUGGGCAUGUGAUAGAAAGAGGAGGAGAAUACAGCUCUUAGAGAGAGAUCUGUAGGAUGUUCUUCCUAAAACUCAGAAUGUACAUGUCAUUCUUAUGCAUAAGAAAUACAUGCAUGUCUUAGGCGUGUAUGUGUGGAUCUAUGUGUGUGUGUGUGUGUGUGUGUGAGAGAGAGAGAGAGAGAGAGAGAGUGAGAGAGACCUGUAGCAUGCUCUUCCUAAAAUCAGCAGUGAGAUUGGUGCAGCCUUCCAUAUGAAUCCUUCUCAUAGUGUUUAACGACUUAUGCUAGCCUAGAAUCUCACAGUGAGUUUGGGGGAGUAAUUCAGAUGCAGUUCUACCAUACUCGACAACAACAACAACAAAGUCUUUUCCCACUAAGUGGGGAGUUCUACCAUACUCGACAUUUCUGAAAAAUUUGGCAUUUUUUCAAUGCAAUGCACUGAUUUGCUUUCAAGAUUUCCAAACUUGUAGGUAAAUCUGGGAUUUCAAGAAGAUCUUUGCAAUAACUCAAAUCUAACAUUUUAAGCUUGGAGAGUCCACUGAGGCAAGGUCGGCUAUAAAACAAAUUGCCAUCAAGCACCACAAACAACAACAAAGCCUUUUCCCACUAAGUGGGGUCGGCUAUAUGAAUCCUAGAACGCCAUUGCGCUCGGUUUUGUGUCAUGUCCUCCGUUAGAUCCAAGUACUCUAAGUCUUUUCUUAGAGUCUCUUCCAAAGUUUUCCUAGGUCUUCCUCUACCCCUUCGGCCCUGAACCUCUGUCCCGUAGUCACAUCUUCGAACCGGAGCGUCAUUCGGCCUUCUUUGCACAUGUCCAAAUCACCGGAGCCGAUUUUCUCUCAUCUUUCCUACAAUUUCGGCUACUCCUACUUUACCUCGGAUAUCCUCAUUCCCAAUCUUAUCCUUUCUCGUGUGCCCACACAUCCCACGAAGCAUCCUCAUCUCCGCUACACCCAUUUUGUGUACGUGUUGAUGCUUCACUGCCCAACAUUCUGUGCCAUACAACAUCACUGGCCUUAUUGCCGUCCUAUAAAAUUUUCCCUUGAGCUUCAGUGGCCUACGACGGUCACACAACACGCCGGAUGCAUUCUAACACUUCAUCCAUCCAGCUCGUAUUCUAUGGUUGAGAUCUCCAUCUAAUUCUCCGUUCUCUUGCAAGAUAGAUCCUAGGUAGCGAAAACGGUCGCUUUUUGUGAUCUUCGCUAGAUUGCUCCGGUCAUUAGUGUGGAUAAGUAUAUAAAUGGAUAGAGAUAGGAAAGCAAACACAAGAUGUACGUGGUUCACCCAUAUUGGCUACGUCCACGGAAUAGAAGAGUUCUCAUUAAUUGUGAAGGGUUUACACAAGUACAUAGGUUCAAGCUCUCCUUUAGUGAGUACAAGUGAAUGAUUUAGUACAAAUGACAUUAAGGAAAUAUUGUGGGAGAAUGAUCUCGUAAUCACGAAACUUCUAAGUAUCGGAGUGUAGAGUCGUCUUGACUUGCCUUAUCUGUCUCAUAGGUAGAUGUGGCAUCUUCUCUGGAAGUACUCUUCCUCCAUCCAGGGGUGGUAUCUUUAACUGGUGGAGAUGCACAAGGUAAUGUAUCAAUUUCACUUGAAGCUUACUUGUAGUUUCAGGCUUGGUCAAGCGCGAUACAAACCAUGUAGUAGGAGUCCCCCAAGUCGCCGAGCUAGGGGGUCUGCUGAAAGAGGUGACAGACAAGGUAAGCAAUCAGAGCUCCGACUGAUUGUUCACCUUCUCCCCAUCUUGCAGCAGCAUGAAGGAUAAAGAGAAGAAAAAUGAGAAGAGAUGAUAUGAGAUACUUUUGCUUUUGAAGAAGUAACUUUCCACAGGCUUAUUCUUGAACUGAGCUGGAGGGUUUUCUGGUUUCCUCCAGAGUAUAAGGCCGACUGAAGAAUUUGAGGGUCAAAACAAGUCCAUCAAAUCUAGAGUACGUUCCACCCUGCUGAUAUGGGAUACUUUUGCUUUUGACAGAGUAAUGGAUGUAUCGGCACGUGUGCUGUUACGCUUGUCUCCACAUGCUUCCUUGUAUCCUUCGCACUUGCCCUAUCUGUUCCUCAAGCAGAUGCGGAAUCUUCCCUAGAAACAUAAGAUGUUGAAGAUGAGUACUCGAGAGCAAUGCCAGGUAAGUAAUCAGGUAAGGGGUUCCAGGCAGUCAGUUCUUGGCUGGAAGCUUGAUUCCAAGUGCUGACUGAUUGCUCUCUUUCUCCUUGUCUUGCAGGUAAAAACAAGGCCAAAGGAAAAGACAGGGAAAAAGCAUGAUAUGGGAUACUCUUGCUUUUAACCCUGAUGAUAUGAGAUAUUCUUGCUCUAGUAUAGCUUGUUUACAGAGGUAUUAUCGGGGGGAAAGAAAGCUGAAUAUUUCGAAAGGCUUCGUUGGGAGUGUUUUCUCGAAUGUGAGUAAAGGUUGGGAGUGUUUUCUCGAAUGUGAGUAAAGGUUGGGCAUGUUUGCUAGUCUACCUUUCCACGAAGCACAGAGGUUGACACACAGGGACUUUCCAAUUAUCCAGCAAUGGUACUGUUCCUUUACCCUCUCUUCGAUUUUUGAGGAAGUAAUCAUGUUGGGAGUCUGGCUCUCGAGAUUCGGAGGGCGGUGCCUCUUCGAUUUUGGAGCAAGCAAUCUUGUUGGGAGUGUUUUCUCGAAUGUGAGUAAAGGUUGGGCAUGUUUGCUAGUCUACCUUGCCACGAAGCACAGAGGUUGACACACAGGGAGUUUCCAAUUAUCCAGCAGUGGUACUGUUCCUUUACCCUUGUGGGUAAUAAUAUGGUAGCUAGACCUUCAAAAUUUAUGUGUCUAAACUUUGUUAGUGUUGUUUCUUUGCUAUUCUUUUACCUUUCUUGGUCAGAGCGAUGUAGUGGGAGCUGCAAGCUUCACGUGCUCAACUUUGGCAGAGAACUUUGGCAAAGUUAUCUGUGGUACCCAUGAGCUAUUGUUGCGUGUGGGAAGUGGGUGAUUGAACAGUAAGAUUCAUGUGCUUUCUACUUCACCAGAAGUCUUCGACAGAAUGCCCAUAAUUUCUGCAAAGCUGAGUGUGCGUGUGACAGGUGCUGACAAGGCUAGAAAAGUAGGUGCCUCUUCGAUUUCUGAGAUCGGCCCUCGUGGUCUCUGAGCAGCCCAGCUUUUGAGAAAGCGAGCGCCUCUUCGAUUGAUUCGAAGAACGAUGCCUCAUCGAUUUUUGAGAAAGCAGUCACGAUGGGGGUCUGGCUCUCGAAGAUUCGGGGAGCAGUGUCUCUUCGAUUUUUGAGAAAGUAAUCAUGUUGGGAGUCUGGCUCUCGAGAUUCGGAGGGCGGUGCCUCUUCGAUUUUGGAGCAAGCAAUCUUGUUGGGAGUGUUUUCUCGAAUGUGAGUAAAGGUUGGGCAUGUUUGCUAGUCUACCUUGCCACGAAGCACAGAGGUUGACACACAGGGACUUUCCAAUUAUCCAGCAAUGGUACUGUUCCUUUACCCUCUCUUCGAUUUUUAAGAAAGUAGUCAUGUUGGGAGUCUGGCUCUCGAGAUUCGGAGGACGGUGCCUCUUCGAUUUUGGAGCAAGCAAUCUUAUUGGGAGUGUUUUCUCGAAUGUGAGUAAAGGUUGGGCAUGUUUGCUAGUCUACCUUGCCACGAAGCACAGAGGUUGACACACAGGGACUUUCCAAUUAUCCAGCAGUGGUACUGUUCCUUUACCCUUGUGGGUAAUAAUAUGGUAGCUAGACCUUCAAAAUUUAUGGUUCUAAACUUUGUUAGUGCUGUUUCUUUGCUAUUCUUUUUACCCUUCUUGGUCAGAGCGAUGUAGUGGGAGCUGCAAGCUUCACGUGCUCAACUUUGGCAGAGAACUUUGGCAAAGUUUUCUGUGGUACCCAUGAGCUAUUGUUGCGUGUGGGAAGUGGGUGAUUGAACAGUAAGAUUCAUGUGCUUUCUACUUCCCCAGAAGUCUUCGACAGAAUGCCCAUAAUUUCCGCAAAGCUGAGUGUGCGUGUGACAGGUGCUGACAAGGCUGGAAAAGUAGGUGCCUCUUCGAUUUCUGAGAUCGGCCCUCGUGGUCUCUGGGGAGCCCAGCUUUUGAGAAAGCGAGCGCCUCUUCGAAUUUCUGAGAUCGCCUUCGUGGUCUUUGAGCAGCCCAACUUUUGAGAAAGCAAACGCCUCUUCGAUUUCUGAGAUCAACCCUCGUGAUCUCUAAGCAGCCCAGCUUUUUGAGAAAGCAAACGCCUCUUCGAUUUCUGAGCAGGCGCCUCUUCGAUUUCUGAAGCUCCGUCGAGUGCAGAUUUUUAUAAGGGGCUGGCAUUAAGUUCCAAAACACACUUGAAUCUCCACCAGUAGAAGCUUCCAUUCUUGCACUUCUAAGAUCUUGAUUUGUCCGACCUCUUCUCUCUUCAACACCUUUGAAAAUGUCUGGCCCCUCCGACCGUCGUUUUGACUUGAACCUUGUUGAAGAGGCAGCCCCGCCUUCUCCAGACAACAUAUGGCGCCCAUCCUUCGUCUCCCCUACUGGUCCUCUUACCGUUGGGGAUUCCGUGAUGAAGAAUGAUAUGACCGCUGCGGUGGUGGCCAGGAACCUUCUCACUCCCAAAGAUAACAGACUACUUUCCAAACGGUCUGAUGAGUUAGCUGUUAAGGAUUCGCUGGCUCUCAGUGUUCAGUGUGCAGGUUCUGUGUCUAAUAUGGCCCAACGCCUAUUUGCUCGAACCCGCCAAGUUGAAUCAUUGGCGGCUGAAGUGAUGAGUCUCAAACAGGAGAUUAGAGGGCUCAAGCAUGAGAAUAAACAGUUGCACCGGCUCGCACAUGACUAUGCUACAAACAUGAAGAGGAAGCUUGACCAGAUGAAGGAAACUGAUGGUCAGGUUUUACUUGAUCAUCAGAGAUUUGUCAGUUUGUUCCAAAGGCAUUUAUUGCCUUCGUCUUCUGGGGCUGUACCGCGUAAUGAAGCUCCAAAUGAUCAACCUCUGAUGCCUCCUCCUUCUAGGGUUCUGUCCAGUACUGAGGCUCCAAAUGAUCCCCCUCCGGUGCCUUCUCUUUCUGGGGCUCUACCGACUGCUGAGACUUCUCCUAAGCAACCUUUGUGAAGGCUCCCUCUUGUGUGUUUAUUUUGACUCAUGUAUAUGUACAUAUUUGUAGCUUAUCGGGGAUAUCAAUAAAUAAGCUUUCCUUCAUUUCAACGUAUUGUGUUAAAUACACCAAAGCCUUCUUCGCUAAGUUCUUUGAAUUUUCUUUUGUUGAAGCUUGUAUGUUGAAGCUUUCUGAGUGGAGCAUGUAGGUUGGGGUAGUGUUCCCUUAAUUUUCCGAGUGAGGAAAACUUCUCGGUUGGAGACUUGGAAAAUCCAAGUCACUGAGUGGGAUCGGCUAUAUGAAUCUUAGAACGCCAUUGUGCUCGAUCCUGUGUCAUGUCCUUCGUUAGAUCCAAGUACUCUAAGUCUUUUCUUAGAGUCUCUUCCAAAGUUUUCCUAGGUCUUCCUCUACCCCUUCGGCCCUGAACCUCUGUCCCAUAGUCGCAUCUUCUAAUCGGAGCGUCAGUAGGCCUUCUUUGCACAUGUCCAAACCACCGUAACCGAUUUUCUCUCAUCUUUCCUUCAAUUUCAGGCUACUCCUACUUUACCCCGGAUAUCCUCAUUCCUAAUCUUAUCCUUUCUUGUGUGCCCACACAUCCAACGAAGCAUCCUCAUCUCCGCUACACCCAUUUUGUGUACGUGUUGAUGUUUCACCGCCCAACAUUCUGUGCCAUACAGCAUCGCCGGCCUUAUUGCCGUCCUAUAAAAUUUUCCCUUGAGCUUCAGUGGCAUACGGCGGUCACACAACACGCCGGAUGCACUCUUCCACUUCAUCCAUCCAGCUUGUAUUCUAUGGUUGAGAUCUCCAUCUAAUUCUCCGUUCUUUUGCAAGAUAGAUCCUAGGUAACGAAAACGGUCGCUCUUUGGUAUUUCUUGAUCUCCGAUCCUCACCCCUAACUCGUUUUGGCCUCCAUUUGCACUGAACUUGCACUCCAUAUAUUCUGUCUUUGAUCGGCUUAGGCGAAGACCUUUAGAUUCCAACACUUCUCUCCAAAGGUUAAGCUUUGCAUUUACCCCUUCCUGAGUUUCAUCUAUCAACACUAUAUCGUCUGCGAAAAGCAUACACCAAGGAAUAUCAUCUUGAAUAUGUCCUUGUUAACUCAUCCAUUACCAACGCAAAAAAGGUAAGGACUUAAGGAUGAGCCUUGAUGUAAUCCUACAGUUAUGGGAAAGCUUUCGGUUUGUCCUUCAUGAGUUCUUACGGCAGUCUUUGCUCCUUCAUACAUAUCCUUUAUAGCUUGGAUAUAUGCUACUCGUACUCCUUUCUUCUCUAAAAUCCUCCAAAGAAUGUCUCUUGGGACCCUAUCAUACGCUUUUUCCAAAUCUAUAAAGACCAUGUGUAAAUCCUUUUUCCCAUCUCUAUAUCUUUCCAUCAAUCUUCGUAAGAGAUAGAUUGCCUCCAUGGUUGAGCGCCCUGGCAUGAACCCGAAUUGGUUGUCCGAAACCCGUGUCUCUCUUGCCUCAAUCUAUGCUCAAUGACUCUCUCCCAGAGCUUCAUUGUAUGACUCAUUAGCUUAAUACCCCUAUAGUUCAUGCAAUUUUGUACGUCGCCCUUAUUCUUGUAGAUAGGCACCAAAGUGCUCGUUCGCCACUCAUUUGGCAUCUUCUUCGUUUUCAAAAUCCUAUUGAAAAGGUCAGUGAGCCAUGUUAUAUACCUGUCUCUCCCAAAAGUUUUCCACACUUCGAUUGGUAUAUCGUCUGGGCCUAUUGCUUUUUAUGCUUCAUCUUCUUCAAAGCUACAACCACUUCUUCCUUCCGGAUUCGACGAUAAAAAGAGUAGUUUCUCUACACUCUUCUGAGUUACUCAACUCCCCUAAAGAAGCACUCAUUUUCAUGUCCUUCAUUGAAAAGAUUAUGAAAAUAACCUCUCUCCAUCUGUCUUUAACCGCGUUCUCUGUAGCAAGAACCUUUCCAUCCUCAUCCUUGAUGCACCUCACUUGGUUUAGGUCCCUUGUCUUCUUUUCCCUUGCUCUAGAUAGUUUAUAGAUAUCCAACUCUCCUUCUUUGGUAUCUAGUCGUUUAUAUACAUAUCGUCGUAAGCCGCUAACUUAGCUUCUCUGACAGCUUUCUUCGCCUCUUGCUUCGCUUUUCUAUACCUUUCACCAUUUUCAUCGGUCCUCUCCUUGUAUAAGGCUUUACAACAUUCCUUCUUAGCCUUCACCUUUGUUUGUACCUCCUCAUUCCACCACCAAGAUUCCUUUUGGUGUGGGGCAAAGCCCUUGGACUCUCCUAAUACCUCUUUUGCUACUUUUCGGAUACAACUAGCCAUGGAAUCCCACAUUUGGCUAGCUUCCCCCUCUCUAUCCCACACACAUUGGGUGAUUACCUUCUCUUUGAAAAUGACUUGUUUUUUCUUCUUUUAGAUUCCACCAUCUAGUCCUUGGGCACUUCCAAGUCUUGUUCUUUUUGUCUUACUCUUUUGAUAUGUACAUCCAUCACCAACAAGCGAUGUUGAUUAGCCACGCUCUCUCCUGGUAUAACUUUGCAAUCCUUACAAGUUAUACGAUCCCCUUUCCUCAUUAGAAGAAAAUCUAUUUGUGUUUUUGACGACCCACUCUUGUAGGUGAUCACAUGUUCUUCUCUCUUCUUAAAGAAGGUGUUGGCUAAGAAGAGAUCAUAUGCCAUUGCAAAAUCCAAGAUAGCUUCCCCAUCCUCGUUUCUCUCCCCAAAACCAUGGCCACCAUGAAAACCUCCAUAGUUGCCUGUCUCCCUGCCCACGUGUCCAUUUAAAUCUCCUCCUAUAAAUAACUUCUCCUCCGUUUGAGCAAUUCCUUGCACCAAGUCUCCAAGAUCUUCCCAAAAUUUCUCCUUCGAACUCGUAUCCAACCCUACUUGAGGUGCGUACGCACUAAUCACAUUGAUAAGUUCUUGUCCUAUUACAAUCUUGAUUGCCAUGAUUCUAUCUCCUACCCUCUUGACAUCUACAACAUCUUGUACCAAGGUCUUGUCCACGAUGAUGCCAACACCGUUUCUCGUUCUAUUUGUGCCCGAAUACCAAAGUUUAAACCCUGAGUUUUCUAGAUCCUUUGCCUUACUACCAACCCACUUAGUUUCUUGUAGGCACAUAAUAUUUAUCCUUCUCCUCACCAUAACUUCCACUACUUCCAUAGAUUUUCCCGUUAAGGUUCCUAUAUUCCACGUUCCUAAACGCAUUUUGCUCUCUUGAACUCUACCCUUCUGUCCUAGCUUCUUCACCCUCCCCCGUCUAAUAAGAUCAAAGUACUUCUUUUGUGUGUCCCGGGUAAAGUUGAUAGGAGCAUAUGCUCCCAAACAACUUUGAGUGGAGUCGUUUGAAAAGAAGUUUCUAUGGCCCCCUUGCUCAUUUAACACUGCAUCCGGGUGCCGAUGGAGAUACAGCGACCCUUGCUCACUUAUCACUGUGCUCGGGCCACACAGCGCGCCACUUACGGGUGACGCCCUAGCUUUAGCGUGAUUUUGUUCUGGAUUCAUUUUCAUAAGGAUUCGACGUGAUCAUGGAGUGCCGGCUGUCGACUACCUGACGCCCUCCCCCUCCUCCUUUAUCCGGGCUUGGGACCGGCCAUGUAAGACAUAGGCGGAGUUUUGCCAUCAAGCUCCAAUAUUUCUAAAUAAAAAUAGACUACCAAGAUCCUUAGGGAUGGAAUCAUCAGUUAAAUUGCAGUUUCCAAGACCUAAAAAUGUCAACGAAGGGCGCAAAAGAUUACUUGAUGGUGACCCUCUCAAACCCCAUAGAAAUAAAGAUGUCAGGUUCUUCAAUCUUGCAAUUGAAGAUGGAUCUUGGCUUAUCAUUGUAUCCGACACGUCGACCUAGAUCCUUUGGGAUGGAAUCAAGUAGAAGAGAGAGCAAAUACCUGGCUUAUCAUUGCCAUCAAGCUCCAAUAUUUCUAAAUAAAAUAGAAGAGAGAAAGCAAGAUAUUGGUAUUCACAGAAGCUGAAGAAAAUAAUAAAUAAUUUGUUUGAGAUCAUAUUAUACCACGUCAGUGUCCUCACAAACUCGUAUGAGUUUGCUAUAGCUCAAGUCAAUAGCAACUAGGUUUGGUUGAUAGAAAUCGUCAGGUAUGACCUUCGGAGGAAAUCCAUGCCAACAUAACCAUCUUAAAUCCUUGGAAAGAUGGUGGUAACUUCCAGUGAGCUUUAUGUUUUUGAGUUUGAGCAAUCUCAGACUCAGCAUGUUUCUAAAUGAUUCUGAACUGAAGCUACGCGUGUCAAACUGUUGUAUAUCUAAAGCAAGUUAACUUAUUGAAAGACCAUGAAAUUCACCAUUUUCCCUAAUAUAGGCCUUUAUACACCAAAAAAUGGGAGGUCUAUCAGCUGAGCACUUAACUGUUAGAAAGCAGGAAAUUAAGCAUUGCCCUUGAACGUUUGUGUUCAAGAGUCUAACAUGUCUUGCUCUGCAUCUUCUGAAGCUGAAAGGCCACUCACUUCUUCUUUGUCAUCCUCCCAGUCACUGUCUUCCAAUUGAGGACUCUCGGACCUCUUCUCUGACUCUGCCCCUUGCCUUCUCAUGUGUUCUGAAAUAUUUCACGAAAGCAAACAAUUAAAGACCGGGGGCAUGUAUAGUCUGGGGAAUGUGAGGCAAGAGAAGAGGAAAACUUACUUUUAUUGGUAAUUGCGUGACGAGUCAUGACCAAGAAUUCAUCCCACUUGAAUUUCCUGAGUUCUUGCUUCUCCUCCUCAGAAAGCUCAAAAUUUGGUUCCCUCCCACACAUGAAAGCAGCCCUGAACACAAAUAACAAAACCAACAAAGUUUAUAUGGCAUAUAAUUUAUUGCAUUUGACACACAAAGCUUACCACCCAUUUUCCCAUUUGGCUUAUCAAGUUUCAUGUUUUUGAAUGUCGGGGGAUUGACACGAACCACUAUAUCAUGUUGAUAAUGCAGACACAACAGACCUUCAGGUUUUAAAAAAUAAAAAACCAGAAGUAACAUAAAAAAGGACACAGGUAACCACUGGUUGGAAUGAACAUAUAGGAUGGCAUGUUCUAUCUGGUGACCCUGUCCAAAGAACGUGAACAAAAAAAACCAGUGUAGCAACAGUGAAAACUAAGAUUGUUUUACUUGGUGUAUCUAAAAACAUGAUGACGAACCACUAAACAAGAGAAGGCAUUCGGUAGUCGAUAGACAAAGGAAAACUGCAAUGGUUUAUGAUUUUCAAUAUUAUGCACUACUGAAAGAUCUUGUAUCUGCUGAUCUUUCCUUAUAGUGCUCAUCCAAUAAAAAUUGUUCGUAGUGAAAAAAAUGUGAUCGUACCUGUCGUACAAAUGAGCAGCCUCUUCUUGGGAACCAACAGUGCCCAAGUGGAUUUGUUUCUUGUCAACUUUUAUUGCUGCAUGCCACUUCAUAUUCUUAAAAUACACACCUCUCAGUAGACUUGGUUCCUGGUUUUGAGCAUACUUUCUGCGAUGUUGCUUUCUGUGUUUGACUGGUGGCCCUGAAAAUAGCAUAUUAUGUUUUAGAAACGAGCAACCUGUAACACAGGCCUCUCAAGCUAAUUGUAAUGGAUAAACGUAUAUGUUAUUUUUAAUACUUCCAUUAUCAAGAUUCAAGAAUAUGCCGUGUGCAGGAGGCCUAGGCAAAUAUACAGAAUUACUGCAAAAUCAAGAAUAUGCUGUGUGCCAAAAUAUUUCUAUAGGCAAAUAUACCAAAAGUUGAAAAUAACUGCAAAUUAAAAAUCUUGCAUCUUCUCUGAGAAGACAAUCAUGAAGUUCCUCAUAACGUAAAGACAGAAAAUACAAGUUUCAAAAGGAUGAGUUCGCAAAUUUGUGGUCCAAUAGUCCAAGACAUCCAGCAUUCUAAUCUAUGAAUAUGUAAUUAGAAAUGAUAGAAAAUUUAAUUUAAACAACAAACCUGCCACAUCGUGCUGCUCUUCGGAUAAGCUAAAACCAGAUGCAAUGAAGGAACGAGGUUCUGCUUUCACAAUGGUAUUCUGGUAAUAAGUAAAGCAUCAGAUAGAAUGAAACUAAGAAGCUAAGAAAUGAUUGAAAUGAAUCCAGAACUGAAAUGAAAUAUCCCAAAUAGAGCUUUUGAUUUCCUAUUUAUGGUAUAUAUUUUUACUUUUUUUUCUGAACACAUUCCUUACUAAAAAAUGCUACUUUUUAGCUUUUUUGAUAAGCAACUAUGAAUUAAGAGCAUACUGGAUCACAAAACCAGGUUUAGGGGCACCAACAUCUCUAAGGGUUUACUGCUUAUAGAAAUGCUAUUCUUACUUUGAAUGAGAUAUUGUUAUUUUAUAAACCGUACUUAGGUCUUAUAUGGCGAUCAUUGCCAUCUUACCAUUUUUCUCUCGGUACCCUGCUAAGCUUACUUCACGUUAAAAAGCAAUAUUACGCCAUUGAGACAUUCUGCCUGCGGAUUUUUGUUCUAAAUUAUAUAUAUGGAACUUUUCUCUUACCAUACAUACAUGUAUAUUAACAAAAAACGUAGAAAUCCUGUCUGACGAGUGUCCUAAACAAGCUAAUAAAACCUUCAAACAAAACAGUACCCCAUAUAAUGUAUGUAUUUAAUGAUCGAUUGAUCAACAAUCUUUUCUUACCCCAUCUGGUUGAUUUGCAUCAUUCAAAGGCAUGGGAUGCACAGUGACAGGAUUUGUACGGGGUUUCGAGGAUAGGUAGGAUGGACUUAGCACUCCAACAACUGGGCCAGUGACCUUUAGUGGAACAGGGUUGUCCUCGCUGAAUUCAAGAGAUGUCCAGUGUAACGGUUCAGCUUUAGCCAGGCGAAUUUCAACUUUGGUGGACAGAACGUCAAAUCUGCACAUUUCAGGUAUUAUCUUUCCAAAUAAGCGGGUCUGAAAAUGAUAUGUAUCUUCACCAGCAACAUCAAUGCUAACACCUAGUUUUUGUUCACCAAAGUCAACAUUAACGUCUUUGGCUGAUAUGCCCUCAGCGAAUAUAGUCACAACCACUUCUUCUGGCUUCUGGUAGAAUGCAGGCCUGUAUUUUGGUUUGACAUAUGUAGUGGUCACCUGAUUGGAAGGUUGACUCGCAGGCUGAACAUUUUUUGCAGGUAUAACAUUCUCUGUAAUGUUUUUCUCCAAUGAAGCCGUUGGUAGAACAGCAGUUUCCUCUGCAAUUUUCUCAUCACACUCUUUUAUCAAAUUAGCGAAUCUUGUCUCAUGUGGGGCCAAAGGAGCACCAAUUUCCAGGGUUGCCUUUGCAGUCUGAUAUUCCUCGAGCUUGAUGCAGGCAAUUCCUUUGCGCAAAUACGCUUUGUACAAUAAUGGAUCGAACUCGAUUGCCUUGUUCGCAUCCGCAACAGCCUCAGUGAGAUUGCCGGAUUUGAUGUUGGCCUGCGCGCGGUUGGUGUAGAGCUCGGCGCUCUGAGGGUUGAAAGCAAUGGCAUGGGUGUAGAGGUCAACGGCCAACUUGAAGCAGUCGUCGAUGAACGCCUCAUUGGCACACUUUUCGAGAUCGGAAGCCAUGGGCAGACAACCGUCCAUGUGGACCGAGGGAGAUGGAAGAGUCUAGAAAAACAAAAAAAGUAUACAACUAUGGUUAAUUGUUGAUUUCUUUACAUAGAUGAGAAACUAAAUACAAUGUAUAAUAUUUAAGGAAAAAAAAAUACAUUGAUAAACCAAUAAAUUAUUAAUUUACCGAUUAUUUAAUAUUCCGCUAUAUUAAUAGUCUUCAUUGGUCUCAAGGCUAUUUAUUUAUAGAAGUUUAAUUAUAUAUACAACAACAACAAAGUCUUUUCCCACUAAGUGGGGUCGGCUAUAAUUUGGCAAAUAUACGAUAUAACUCUAAUAAUUUCGGAAGUACAAACCUCUUCAGAUGAAUUAUUUCUUGGUACAGCACCAAUCUCCUCAAUGCUAGUGUAUUUGUCACCGGCAUUACCAUCAUCCCAGACUAGAUUAAUUCCUGUUUUCAUCACUCUCCCUAUUACUCUCCCUCUCCCAUGAGCCUUUGUAACUGCAGAAAUCGAGACUUCGUCUCCACUUUGCAAAUGGAGUACAUCAUUUGAUAAUACACUUUGCAAACGGAGUACACUAUCAGCUACCCAGCAGGUAGAUUCUUCCCAGGUGUGCAAAGCCUUACGCUUGGUAAUAUUUGUAACAGUAAAUCCCGGACAAUAUGUUUCGAAAACACAGCACACAGUCAAUCCUCUAAAAUUACAAGGCACUUUAAAACGAACAUCAUUGGGCUCAUGAAUACCAACAAUCUGGAACCACUCCGGAAUAUCAUAAAUUCCAUUGAGAAAAAUGUCACCAUGUCCGCAAGAAGUCCAUCCCUAGAGCAUACCACGUAAAGCCAGAUUAAUUUGUAUAAGCAAGUCUUAAUUAUGCAUGCGUGUCAUGAACAUGUACAGUACAGGGGCCUCUGUGGGAGUGUGAUAGAAAGAGGAAGAGAAUAUGUCUCUCAGAGGGAGAUCUGUAGGAUGUUCUUCCUAAAACUCAGCAUGUACAUGUCAUUAUUAUGCAUACGAAAUACAUUCUUGUACAUGCAUGUUUUUGGUGUGUUUGUGUGGAUAUGUGUGUGUGUCUGUGAGGGAGAGAGAGAGAGAGAGAGAGAGAGAGAGAGAGAGAGAGAGAGAGAGAGAGAGAGAGAGAGAGACCUGUAUGAUGUUCUUCCUAAAAUCAGCAGUGAGAUUGGUGCAGCCUUCCAUAUGAAUCCUUCUCAUAGUGUGUAACGACUUAUGCAAGCCUAGAAUCUCACUGAGUUUGGGGGAGUGAUUUAGAUGCAGUUCUACCAUACUUGACAUUUCUGAAAAAUUUGGCAGUUUUGCGAGUGCAAUGCACUGAUUCGCUCUCAAGAUUUCCAAACUUCUUGGUAAAUCCGGGAUUUCAAGAAGAUUUUUGCAAUAACUCAAAUCUAACAUUUUAAGCUUGGAGAGUCCACUGAGGCUAGGUAGGCUAUAAAACAAAUUGCCAUCAAGCUCCAAUAUUUCUAAGGAAAAUAGACUCCCAAGAUCCUUAGGGAUUGCAUCAUCAGUUAAACCACAGUUUCCAAGACCUAAAAGUGUCAAAGAAUUUAAGCCAUGCAAUGAAAGGAGCACAGAUCUCAGGUUCUUCAAUCCUGUUAUUGAGGAUGGUAAUUUCCUUGUCAUUGUAUGGCUUGCUUGAGGUGUUGUCGAUGAUACCAUCUCCCCCUUGUCCUUCAGUUUUAUAAAUCCUGUACAGCCUUUAAGAAUAAGAGUCUCAACUGAUUUUGACUUACAGAAAUCCCCUGGAAAAUACUGAAGCGUUUUGCAGUCUUCAAGAUUUACCAAUGAAAGUCUUUCAAGAUGCCCAAUAGAUGGGUGAAUCUUAGACAAUCUUACACAGUUUACCAAUAUCAGUUUUUCAAGAUUUGGGACUUUGGAAAGAUCUGGUGAUUCUGUUAGGUAAUGGGAAUGACUGAGAUUGAUGAUUUUCAGAUUCUUGAGCAGCUGCUGGGGGAAAAAAAAAAAAAAAAAAAAAAAAAAAAACAGAACACAAAAUAGAAAUUCAAAUAGAAGAGAGAGAAAGCAAGAUAUUGGUAUUCACAGAAGCUGAAGAAAAUAAUUAAUAAUUUGUUUGAGAUCGUAUCAUACCACGUCAGUAUCCACCCAAACUUGUAUGAGUUUGCUAUAGCUCAGGUCAAUAGCAACUAGGUUUGAUUGAUCGAAAUCUUCAGGUAUGACCUUCAGAGGAAAUCCAUGCCAACACAGCCAUCUUAACUCUUUGGAAAGAUGGUCGUAACUUCCGGUGAGCUUUAUGUUAUUGAGUUUGAGCAAUCUCAGACUCUGCAUCUUUCUAAAUGCUUCUGUACUGAAGCUACACUCGUCAGACUCUUGCAUAUCCAAAGCGAGUCCUUCAACGUCUUCUGUUCCCUAUUACAAAAAAUAGUUGAAAAUUGAAAACAAACCAACAACAACAACAACAACAGAGGAACUAAGAAAAGGGUUAUAUGCAAGUGAAAAGGUGAUUAAUUCAUACAUCAGAACCACAAGGCCUUGAAUUGGAUGGAUGAACCACAUGAGAGGUGGACAAUUACACAAUAUAGAACAUGGGACCUCUCAUAGGCAACUUUUAUUAUAUAUCUACUAUAAUAUGCUUAUAUGUCUGGAUUAUAACCAUAAAGUUGUACUUUACAUCUGUCUACAUUAAUUAGGUAUCUUUAGCAAGCUUCUGUUACAGGUAUCAUAAUUCACAAAUUGUACUUAACCAGAGGAGGACAUGUGUGAUUCUGUUAUUUAAUUUGAGAUGAUUCAAUACAAAAAGCUCCUUUUUUGUCUCUUACAGUUUCCUUUCUCUGCUACAUUAGUACAUGCAUUUAACAUCAAAUUUAAUUGCAAAAGUACUCACAGAUUGCUUCGUCAAUACGUCUGUUAUAUCUUCAUUAUACCACAAUCUACUACGUUCUCCAGGAUUGUCAGGGGAUUCUGCACGCACGAUUUCUCUGCCCAUGCCUUGAAUCAAAUCAUGCAUCAUGAGAUUGCCUUCUUUAUCAACAGUUACAAGGCAUUGAUCUUGGAGUUCUCGAAUCCCUAUUUCUGGAUAAAACUGACAGCCAUCCAGUACUGUCAUGACAUAGUCCUUGUUCAUUCCAGUAAAGAAACAAGAGAUGUCAAGGAAUAUAGCCUUCACGUCAUCAUCAGUUAGCCCAUCAUAGCUUAUUUCAAGUCUUCUGUGAAUUUCCCGAUAAGGCUGUGAUCUUUUCCAUUUAUCCAGUACAGUUUCCCAUUCACUUGUGCUUCCUGUACGUAUAUAAGAACCUAAGACUUCAAGUGCUAGUGGCAAACCUCCACAGUAGCCAACAGCCUUUCUUGAGAGCUCAAUAUACUCUUCAUUAGGAUAAUUGUUUCUAAAGGCAUGCCAACUAAGUAGUUCAAGAGCUUCUCCUUCAUUCAUUGCUGGCAGAGGACAUAUCUUAUCCACAUUAAUUAUCUUUAGCAAAUGUUCGUUUCUUGAAGUUAUAAUGAUUCUGCUCCCUGGACCAAAGGAGUCAGGUUUAUAGCCAAAGCAUCUCUUUGUUGAACGCUGUCUAAAUCAUCAAUUACGACAAGUACCCUUCUGUUGCCUAACCUUUGUUUUAUCUCCUUGGUCCCUUCAUUGAUACUACUUACCAAUAUGUAGGCCGGUUUCAAGAUAUCAGAAAUAAGUUUUUUUUGCAAAUCAACCAGUUUCUCUUCGCUCGCAGUUUCAAGGAAACUUGCACCGUCAAAACUAUGAUGAUGUUUGUUGAAAACGGCUUUUGCAACCGUUGUCUUACCCAGUCCACACAUACCCAAAAUUCCAAUUAUGCGAACAUCAUUUGAUCCUCCAACAUCUAAAUGCUUACUAAUUUCUCGCACACGAGAAUCUAUUCCAACUAGCUUCGUAGGUACCACUAAGCGAUUGUUUCUGCUCAGUUUUCCAGUGAUCUGAGAAACAACGUUCCUGAUAAAAUUUCCUUCAUUCCUGGUUGUUAAAAUUCAACAAAGCAAAAGUAAAAAUUUAUUAUGCGACUUCAAGAUCACAUUAAUCUUUCAGAAAUUGACGAGUCAAAAUCUCCAGAUACUAUUACAAUUUCCUAAACUGAAAUCUUGGUUGUUAAAUUUCAACAAGGCAAUUAUUACCGAUUAUUUUUUUAUUGUGUAUAUCGAUAUUUUACACUAAGAAGAAGAGAGGGAAUUCGGCUAGGUCACACAAUAAGCAACAUAAUUUGGUAUCGAAUUCGCCAUCCACGAUAUUCCAACAUAAGAUCUCUCGCUUAUAAGUGAAGAGUUAUACCAUCAAAUCCUAGUAUUGAGUGGCUAGAUAAGCCUGAUAUAAUCAUUACUUAUACAUAAAUAAAUAAAAUGGAAGGGAAAUUUCAGCCACACAAAGUAAAGAAAAUAAAAAGGAAAUAAGAAAGUAAUUACCCGGCAGAUUUGGUUCCAACAACGUCAGUCUGUCGAAAAUUGAAUCCGGCCAAACUUCCAGCUUCCUUAAGAGCGUUUCUCCAGAGAAGUACCUUUUCUUCCUUAACUUCCUGUUCAUAUUUCUGAAACGCCUGUGCAAAACUACCACUCUGGUUCAGGACAUCUGAGGAAUCAACACCAUAGAAGAUUGGAAAAACCAUUUGACCCAGUGUUUUUCUGCACUCCAUGAUCUUCACCAGCUCCUCGAGACACCACGCGGACUCUGGAUACCCUCUUGAGAAGACGACGACGGCAACCUUAGACCUUUCGAUUUUUUGAAUCAGGUGUUCUGGUAUAGCUCUAUUACUUUUUUCUAGCUUGUAAUCGUAUUCGUCUCCGUACAUGAAGACGUUGAAUCGGUGGUCUUCUAAUGUACAGUAGAGGUGGUCCGUGAAGGUCGUGCGUGUGUCUUCACCUCCAGAACUCAAGAACACGUCGUACAUCGGAUCGUCUUUGGAGGAUGAAUCCAUCAAUUGUUACUCCAGGAUGUCUUGGCAGGCAGCACAGAUCAAAUUUGAGAUCUACAGACAACCGUAAGGGCAAAGUAAACUCAAAACUCCGAAAAGAAAAGUGGGAACUGGCAAGUGACAAGUCAAUUACGAUCGAUCCCACCCAUUUUAUUUUUUGAUCCAACGGUAUCAAAAAGCUCAAGGAAGAAAAAAAAAAUUUAACCAAUUUUUUUAAGAGAAUUUUAACUAAAAGCUACCGGUACGGUUUACUUUAACGAAAAAUCAUAUUUUUACACUAAAAAAAUCAAUCAUCGUACUUUUUAUUUUAUCCUUUAUUUUGUUCCUAUCGUUAAAAAUUAAAGUUUUUAAACCAUUUUCAUUAGUUUUCUUUUUUUUUAAAGACAAAAUAACACCUAUCCUUCCUAGAAAAAAAAAUAAAAAUAAAAAAUCCAACUGUCACCCAAGGGCCAAGAGCCAAAAGACACAAGCUGUGUGAAAGGUGCUAAAUCGUCUCACUCCUUACUUUAGUUUAGUACAAGACUGGACCUUUGUAUCAAGGAAAACGAUAGAUUGCCGAUGAACUAAACCACCUAAAAAAAUCUAUGACAACUUUAAAGAAGGAAAAAAAUAUCUAUGACAAUUUGAAGAAAGCAGAUGGCAAAUCAAACAGUAAACACUGAAUUAAAAACAAUAAACUCAUCCAUACAUCCAGCUCCCAUCUCUCUCAAAUCUGUCAGUCCCUCAAAGUCACCCAUACCUCCCUCAGUCACCCCUUCCUGACCGGCCAACCCCACAAACUGCACACAACCAUGCCUUCCCCUCUCUCUCUCUCUCUCUCUCUCUCUCUCUCUCUCUCUAAAAUCAGAGGAAACCUCAUAGAUCCUGGCAGAUGACGUAGAUAAAUCUCUCUCUCAUUGAGUCGAAAGCCCUAACACCCAUAUCUCUCCAAUAUGUCACUCCCCCUGUCCUCCCCUAACCACCCGAAGCACAGCCAUCUCUCCCCGAGUCAAAAUUGGCGGCCCUCACUCUCUCUCCAUUCUAUCAGCUCUUAUCUCUCUCAAAUCUGCAGGUGACUCCUCUCUGUGGGUGAUUGUGUGCCCAAACCCCAUUUCCAUCCGCCCAAUACAAAUCCAACCAAGCAAAUAAAACCCCAUCCAGAGCCUAAACCCACAAAGCCCAUUUUUUAAAGGAAUGGCAUGCCCGUAAAUAAAAUGAAAUUCGAACCCAAACACUAUUCAUUUCUAUAGUGCUAAUUCCAAUGCUUUCCUUAGACUAAAGUAAUUUUAUUUUAUGGGUUAAUAUCAGUUUAUUACUCUAAUAUUUAGUGGUUUUCAACAUUUGGUAUAUGAAGUUUUUUUCAUCUCAGAGUCAUACCUCAAGUCUUAAUUUUGGAGCAGUCUCGUACUUUCGUUAGUCAUUCUGUUAAGGACUCUGUUAAAACGUGAUGUGGCACUUGAUUGGGCAACGACAAUGCAAAAUGUGGCACUGUGGGCUCCACAUAGACCUAUAAAACAAUUAGAUAAUUAAAUAAUAUUUUUUGCCUACCUUUUCUCCAGUAAGAAGAACAAAUAAAUAAAAAAUAAAAAUAUUAUAACUCCCAUCUUCUCAAAGUCUUUAAGCUUGUUUGGAUGUAUUUUUAAAAUAACUGAAAGCGCUUUUGGUGAAAAUACUUUUGAAAACUAUCCUUAGUAAAAAUGUUAGUAAAUUCUUGAAAAGUACUUAGGGUGCGUUUGUUGCACCGGACUGUCUCGGACUGGACUAGCUUCAGGGACUAAGCUGGACUAACUUAAUGAAAAGUUUGGUGCAGUGUCGGACUAAGAAGCAAAAUAAUAAUAAAUUCUAAUAUUAUAUAGUUUAAUUCAUAAUUUAUUCCUAAUUCUAGAAACCUCUCCGUCCAUCAACCUCUGUUUUUAUUCCUCAUUUUUCUCAGUCCCACCCUCAUCCUCUUUCUCUACCCUCUCCCUCUCUGCCUCCUAUCUCAAGUCGUGGAAAAGGAAGAAACUUGCUCUAAUUCUCCUGCACUUGAGCUUCCAAGAAGGACCCAAAGUCUUGAGCGAUUUGUAUUUCUUUUUUUUUUUUGUUUUUUUGUCAAUUCACUGUCAUUUUCCCAGGCCCCAGAUCCGGCCGACCCAGACUCUUUUCGUAGUUGGAGCUAACGAUUUGAGACAUGUUGGGGGAGUUGGUGUGUUGAGUCGACGAUUCAACGGCGGAGGUUGUGAAAGUCCAAGCUUUUCCGAUGUAUGUGCGGCAAGACACGCGGUGAUUCAACUACGGAGUCAUCGAGCUUUUUUUUGGAAAAAUCAAACCCGUUUUCUGGUGGAGUUGGUGAAGGGAAGCAGACGAGCGACAGAGGAACGAAGCAAGUCUUAGUUUGUCCCAUGGUUUUCGGGGACUCUAACUAAGAACCUCUAGUGACGCUGUCAGUCCCGAUGAGUCCGGGCUAAUCUCAUUAAUCUUAGCCCCGCAUGAUAACAAACACUGGACUAAACCAAAAGUUAGUCCAGUCUGGUCCAGUGAAACCUAGUGAAGCAAAACAAACGGGCCCUUAAAGUGUUUCCAGGGAGAAGCACAUAACUGGUGCUUCUUGUAGAAAGCACUUAAAGUGCUUUUGGAACUCAAAAAUAUUUUCUUUAAAAGUGCUUUCAAUCAUUUCAAAAGCACAUCCAAACGAGCCCUUUAUCACCUACAACUUCUCCAACCACCCCUACAUCUCCUCCGACAACCACGCUUCCCUAGCCGCCAUUUUUCACACACCUAGAACCUAAAUCCUCCAUUUUCCUCACUGCCUCCAUCUCAUCCUUCGACUCUUUCGCUACCAUAGUUAUCUCCUUCACCAAACCCACAACCUCUAUCGCUGGCAUAGCUGUCGAUUACGGCGAUCCAGAUCCGAAAACCUUAUGGAAGAUUCCACGACAUGUUGAAUAUGGCCACGAUAGUGAUCGAAUGCUCGGAUUUGGCUACGGCGAUGAGUGAGUUGUCUGGGAUCGGGAACCCCAACUGGAUUGGGACAAAACGACGACUUCAGAUCUUGGCUUCGUCUGUACAAUUAGGCAAUUAGGAACCGAUUCUUUGAACCAUGAGGGAUCCAAAACCUUGGCGACGUCUUCAGAUCUCGGUCUCGAUGGCGAAGAUGAGCUAUUGGAAAUAGCUCGUUGUCGCGGACCAGAUCCAUUGCGAAAUAGAUCUUGGACUUGCUUGCCAUGACCUUUUUAGAGUUGGAUGAUGUUGGGUGCUUCACCAUCCUCAUCACAAAGGACGAUGUUGGGGUUCUUUUUUAGGUUUUAGGUUUUAAAUUUUUUAAUGUUUAAUUUUUAUAUUUUUUUAUUUUAAAAAAAAUUAAUAUCCAUGUAGGUCAUAUUGACAUGUGGCGUCUAUUCAUUGUCUACAUAAAUGCCACAUCACCAGUUAAUGACUUUCUUAACAAAAAGACUAACAGAAAUAUGAGACUGUCCCAAAAUUAAAACUUGAGGUAUGACUCUGGGAUGAAAAAAAACUUCAUGUACCAAAUGUUGAAAACCAGGAAAUAUUAGGGUAGUAAACUGAGAUUAACCCUUGUUUUAUAUUAUGAAUACUUUACUCACUCCUUACUUAGUUUAGUGUUUUAUAUUAUGAAUAUUUUAUUAGGUAGAUACAGGUCGGGCAAAGCAGACACUCUGCACUCUCAAUCAAGGUUCUAAAAAACGUUAGGCGCUAGUCGGGCGGUGGGCUGGCGCCUAGCGCCUAGCGCCUAGGCGGCUAAGACCAUCUCCAACCGAAGGGUCUAGAGGGCCAGAGGGCCGAAAAUAGCCCUAAAACCGUCUCCAACCGAGGGUUAGGCUAGAGGGCUCGGGAAUCUGGGAGGGCCCCACGGGAUCGGAGAGGGCUGGAGGGCUGGAGGGCUGGCUGCUUUCGGCCAGCCAGCCAGCCUCGGGCUGGCUAUUUUUUUUUUAAUGUUUCUUAUUUCUGUCGGUUACAACCGACAGAAAUAACAUUUUGAAUUCAAACUUCCAACGGCUAGCGCCACUAGCCGUUGUAAAUCCUUUUUUUUUUUUUUAUGAAUUUAAACCUUUUUUUUCUUUUUUUUUCUAUAACUUCCUAUAACUUCUAUUUUACAAAAUUUGUUUCAAUUUUUUUUUAAUUCUAUUUUUUUUCCUAUAACUUAUAUUUUACAAAAUUUGGUUCAUAUUUUUUUCAUAUAACUUCUAUUUUACAAAAUUUGUUUCAUAUUUUUUUUUAAAAUUCCAUUUUUUCCUAUAACUUCUAUUUCACAAAAUUUGUUUCAUAUUUUUUUUAAAUUCUAAUUUUUUCCUAUAACUUCCUAAGCCAUUAUACAACAUUAAAUUAAAUUAAGUAACAUGAAACAACAUUAAACAAUAUGAAACAACAUUAAAUAACAUUAACCGACAUAAAAAUUAUACAACACUAACCAACAUGAUUUUUAAAUAAAAUUAAGUUGUAGUUUUUAAAUAAUAAAUUAUGUUUGGCCCUAUGGCCCUUUGGCCCUCGGUUGGAGACGGUUUUUUUUUACAGGGCUAAAACGAGCCCUCUGGCCCUCUGGUUCUCAGUUGGAGACGGAGGCAAAUAUGGCCAUGUACUGUUCAUUAAAAUAUUAAUAUCUUGGAGAAUCUUAGAGGGCCAGAGGGCUAAAACGAGCCCUCUGGCCAGCCAUCGGUUGGAGAUGGCCUAAGAGGGUCUAGGCAGGCGGCCUAGGCAGAUUUAGAUAAAUUUCUUGUAUAUCUUAUAAAUAAGUGCAUAUUAACACUUACAAAAAAUUAUACUUGUAUGAAAUCUAUGGAUAACAUAAUAAAAGAAUGAUAAAAUGAAAAAAGAGUACCCAACAAGUCCAAUUUAAAAACACAUUAACCAUAUAUGCCAUAUAACCAUAAUGAGGAGUAUAGUAGGAUGACACAUGUAUUACAAGUUCACAACUUAGACUUAGAUAGGAUAUUUUUUUUAAAUUUAAAAAAUAAAAAAAAUAAAAAAUAAAAUAAUAAAAUAAUAAAAAAACCACUUAGCCUCCUAGCACUGCCUAGCUCGCCUAACCCGCCUAGAGCCCAGCCAAUUUGCAAGAAAAUGCCUUGGGUCACCACCGCUGAGUGCCUAGGCAAUUUUUUAGAACACUGCUCGUAAUUGAGUGCUGAGCAAAAAUAAGGAUGAGGUCUUCUUUGUGAGGAUCUUAGAGAUUCUCACAUUUUAACUGUUUUGUACGAUCAAUUUUCAUUCAGUACUAUUUGUGUUUAAUUUUAAAUAAAAUUUUAAAAUGAUUUCUGAAUGCAAGAUAUACGAUGAAUGACUAGAAUCGGAUUCCCACAAUUUAUAUCCGGAUGGGAUCCAAAUCCCAAAAACAAGUCGUAAAAGAAAUGUAACAAACAAUUUACUCAAUAAAAUUUUAUUCUCAUUUGUUUUUUGGAAGAUUAUUAAUUUUGAGGUCAACUCAUUCUAAACAAUGCGUUUAUUAAUCACACCUUUUUUUUUAAUAACGAAAUACGUUUUGCUUCUAACAUGAUAAAAAUGAAUUUUCGAGAUCAAUGUCUUUAUUUGAUUUUGCGGUUGCACUUAGGUGGAACCCUAGACUACCUACCUACCUUUUUUGAGGGAUCAAGCCGCUUGUUCUUCAUCAUUUUCAAUGAGUGAAUGACUCACUGAAAAAGAAAGAUUUGGUUAUGCUGAUAAUAGAUUGAUUAUGCAUCCUUCGUAGAAUCAAACUGGCAUAAUUCUAGAUUUUCGAUGAGUGUAUGACUGAAAGAAAUUUUUUAUAUUUUGGUGAAUUUGGUUGAAUGAACUAGGGAUUUGAUUUGAAUUUGGACUUUGUGAUGAAUUUGGUUGAGGUGAACUAGGGAUUUGAUUUGGACUUGUUUUGGUUUUGUGCAUUUCCAUCUAGAUCGAAUCUAGAUUGCCUACACCUUUAGCGGAUCAAAUCUGAUGUAGUUGAAGAUGUUUUGUGUGGCUUUGUGCCAUUUGGAAUAUGAAGUGGCUUUGUGCCAUUUCGACCAAUUCGGUAAUUUUCAUGGGAAUUUAACCUAUUAAUGUGACUUGGUUCACAACUGCUGAAUUUGAGGUAAUUUGCCUCCAUGAUUUUUGAAGAUUCGCAUCCACUAAUGUGACACGGUUCGAAGUUUUCUCCAUGUUUUUCUUUAUUUUGGACUACUUGGAUGUGGUAUGCCUCCGCCAAGCCGUUUCGUUCUUGGUCCUGUUUGAUUCAUUGAGCCUAAGUUUGAAAGCUAUGACCAUUUCCAACCGAUCAAGCCAAAGGGUCAUAGGCCAAAAUAUAGCCAAUUUUGACAGAAAAUCGUCUCCUAUCGAGAGCUAGGCCAAAGGGCUUGUGAACCCCACUAAGCCAUACUUCAUCCAUUAGGCCAGUGGGCUGGCCAAAAAGAGCCAGCUAGCCCGUUUCUAGCAGCCCAAAACAGGGAGAGAAUAGGCGUGCCCCAUCUCACUGAGACCGAUUGCACAGAUUCCAAAGACACGUGUCCUAGCUGAGAACGAAACACACCCUAAAAUCCAUGGAGUAGGAUUCUCUCCCCUCUUUUUUUUCCCUCCCCUUCCCUCCCCUCCUAUUUGAACGGUCACAAUUAAGCUACAUCAACAUCUUAUAUUAAUUUAUUAAAGAAAGAGAAAGAUAAAAUAAAGAAUGUGAGAUGAGGAGAUGGAAAGAAAAGGGUAGAGAAUCAUAAUCCAAAAUCCAUUAAUGUGGACAACUCCUUGCAAGGCAUGUGUCAUCCUUCCUCAGAAACAAUGAUGCCUCCAAAAUAAUAUUCACAUUCUUCUACAUCCUUUCAUCAUUCUAUAUCAUCUUACCUCAUUUUAUUUCAAUUCUUCACAUUCUAUUCUCUUACAUUUUUCAAUAAUCUUUCCUUUAAUAUUUUCAAUAAUUUUCAAAUGGCCACAUCUUCAAUCAAAGAAAGGGCUUAUUCAUUUAACAACAAGUGGCACUCAAAAUACGUCAUAAAACCUUAUUUUAAUUCAAUUAACAAUCUUAAUUCAAUUAAAAUAAUAAAUUAUUGAGGGGGCUAAAAAAUAGCCCCCUUCGGUUAGAGAUGGUUUUUUGUUAAACGGGCUAUGUUUUGGCCUAUGGCCAUUUGGCCCCCUCAGUUGGAGGUGGUAUAAAAUAUAGCCUGACUGUUCAUUAAAAAAUAAUUUCUUGCAUACCUAUAGGGCUAAACAUGGCCUUUUGGCCUCCUUUCAGGCCAUCUCAACCGAUCCGGCCAAAGGGUCAUAGGGCCGAAAAUAGUCCAAAAUGACACGAAAAUCGUCUCCAACAGAGGGCUAGUCCAAAAGGCUUAUGGGCCCCACUGGGCCAAAAAUACAAAAUCAGGCCAACCCGCUGGCCCAAAUAAGCUAGCUAGUUAGCCCUGGGCCGGCCCAACCUUUUAAAAGCAACGGCUACCUGGCAUCAGCAUGACGCCAGCUAGCAAUGGCUAGCUGAUGCCAGGUAACCGUUGGAUUUGAAUUUUUUUUUCCUGACAAAAUUAAAAAAAAAAAAAAUUCCAAUUUUUUUCUAUAAAUACCUAAUUCAUUCCUACACCAUUUCUCACAUUAUUUUCACCAUUCCAUACUAUUUUACACGAUUUCUCUCCUAAAUCAUUUCUUACCUUUUCCAAUAAUCUUUGCUUCAAUUUUUUCAAUAAUUUUCAAAUGGCCAGAUCUGCAUUGAAAUGUAGGGCUUGGACCCGAAAAGAAGAUGAAGCUCUUUGCAGGGCUUAUAAGUGGGUCUCCAAAGAUAGUGUGAAGGGGAGUUCUCAAACAAGUGAAGGUGUUUGGACUCGUACAUCCAAAAAAUACUAUGAGUUCUACAAAAGCACCACUCCACCGAUUUCCCAAAACCACGAGAGUUCUUCAAGAUCGAAAAAACAUCUUCAUCCAAGUUUGAAUAAAUGACAUCAAGCAGUGUUAAAGGCCAAAAGCAGACAUGAAAGUGAAGCCAAUUACUACGACCAAGUAAGUGUUUUCACAAGUUAUUUUAAAUGUUUAAUUGGGUAAAUUACAUAGUAGCUCCUCAGGUUUGAGCUCUAUUGCAAUCUCAUACAACAUCUUUAAAACAUUUCACUUUCAUACCUCAAGUACUAUUUUAUUUCAAUUUCAUACAACCGUUAGAUUUUCCAUCCAUGGAUCUGUUAAAUGCUGACGUGGCUGCCACAUAUAUGACACGUGGCUGCCAAAUGUCUGCCACGUGGCAAAUAAAAUAAUUUUUUAAUUUUUUUUUUUUAAAAAAACAUAUCUGCCAUUUUUUUUUCUCUUUCUUCUUCUUCUUCUCUUUCUCUUUCUUCUUCUCUUUCUCUUUCUUCUUCUUCUAGGUUCGGACCUUUUUUUUUUUUUUUUUUCUUCUUCUUCUUCUUCUUCUCCCUCCUCCUCCUCUUUCUUCUUCUCUUCUUCUUCUUCCUCCUUCUUCUUCUGGGUUCGGUCCCUUUCUUUCUUUUUUUUUUUUUUUCUCUUUCUUCUUCUUCUUCUUCUUCUUCUCUUUCUUCUGGUUCGGACCUCCUUUUUUUUUUCUUCUUUUUCUUCUUCUUCUUCUUCUCCCUCCUCCUCCUCUUCUUUCUUCUCUUCUUCUUCUUCUUCCUCCUUCUUCUUCUGGGUUCGGUCCUUUUUCUUUUUUUUUUUCUUUUUUUUUCUCUUUCUUUUUCUUCUCUUUCUCUUUCUCUUCUUCUUCUUCUCUUUCUUCUUCUUCUUCUUCUGGGUUCGGACCUUUUUUUUUUUUUUUCUUCUUCUUCUUCUUCUUCUUCUUUUCUUCUUUUUUUUCUGGGUUCGGUCCCUUUUUUUUUUUUUUUUUUCUUCUUCUUCUUCUUCUCUUCUUCCUCCUCCUCCUCCUCCUCUUUCUUCUUCUUCCUCUUUCUUCUGGGUUCGGACCCCUUUCUUUUUUCUUUUUUUUUUCUUCUUCUUCUUCUCUUUCUCUUUCUUCUUCUUCUGGGCUCGGACUUUUUUUUCUUUUUUUUCCUUCCAAUUUCAGGUUUUUAAAAAAAAAAUAAAAAAUUAUUUUAUUUGCCACGUGGCAGACAUUUGGCAGCCACGUGUCAUAUAUGUGGCAGCCACGUCAGCAUUUAACAGAUCCAUGGAUGGAAAAUCUAACGGUUGUAUGAAAUUGAAAUAAAAUAGUACUUGAGGUAUGAAAGUGAAAUGUUUUAAAGAUGUUGUAUGAGAUUGCAAUAGAGCUCAAACCUGAGAGGCUACUAUGUAAUUUACCCUAUUUAAUUAUAUUACAUUUAAUUUCAUAAAUUAAUUUCCUUUAAUUUUUGUAAUUAUAUUUUCUAGGUACGCCAAGCGGAGGAAUUGUAUGUCAAGGACAACUCGAAACUCUUUAAUCAACACAGUUGUUGGAGAAUUUAUAAGGGGUGGGUGUUAUUUGAAGAUCCACCUCAAGAAAGAAUUGCUCCUAUGCCGGUGUUCGGAAAUGCAUCCUCAAAUGCAGUUGGGGAUGAAUAUGGAUCUCCUAUCGUUCAAGAAACAAGGGUAGAAAAUCUAUCUUCGGGUGAAGGUUCCAUACCUAGGGCUAUGGGACGAAAUAAGGCCCAAAGGGCAAAGCAAAGGAUGAUUAUGCCUUUCAACAGGAAAUGGAGUCCUCAUUACGAUUAAUGGCGAAGCAAAAUGCCUUUGCCGCGGAAGAAAUGAAUCGUAGGCAUGAAGAACGGGCAAAACAAAUUCAAGAAGAGAUGGAUGAUAGGAACAUGCAAAGGAACACUUCGGAUUACACUUCAAUGAGCAAGACCUAUUUUGAUAGGAAAAAAAGUGAAAUUAUGGUCCAACGGGAGUUGUUUACAUCCGACUAUAAUCCUACAAUGGCGGAUGAUGAUGAUGAUAAUUAUAGACUUUAAAUUUAAGUUGUUGUAGUUUUUAAAUUUAAGUUGUUGUAAUCUUUAAAAUUUAAAUAAUAAAUUAUGUUUGGCCUAUGGCCCUUUGGCCCCCACGGUUGAAGAUGAAUUUUUGUCACAUGGCUAUGUUUGGCCUAUGACCUUUUGACCCCUCGGUUGGAGAUGAUAAGAAAUAUGGUCUGGCAUUGUUGUUACGCCCCGGACCCGGGGUCAACAGGAAAACUCUCGAACCCAAAUCCAGUGCACGAGCUAAAAAUAGAAUUAAAUAAAAGGAAAGUGAAACUGGGUGGAAAAAUAUGAAAUUCCUCUUAUAACGAGAAAUCGAUAAUUCUUUACAAGACUAAAAUAAAUAAAUACAAAAUUAUAUCCUCACCCUUAAUCUGAUCUCAUCCCGUCUACCUUUUCUGACUGUUUAGUUCUUAAACCUACUUAACAAUAGAGGGUUGAGCUUCAACAGCUCAGCAGGGACAUAACCUUAUCACAGUAAAUUGACAAUAUUAAAUUAAGUGUCAUGAAAUCAUAUGGCCAAAUAUCAAAUCAUUAUUGAUCAUGAAUGCACUUGAAACUCUUCGGCUACCCCUGUUAAUUUAUAUAAUAAAACAAGCGGACUUGCACGUUCCAUACUGUAACAUCCCACAUCGCCCAGGGGAGUGAUCCUUAAAUGUAUAUUCUCAUCCCUACCUAGCACGAGACCUUUUGGGAGCUUAUUGGCUUCGGGUUCCGUCGGAACUCCGAAGUUAAGCGAGAACGUGGCCAGAGCACUCCCAUGAUGGGUGACCCACUGGGAAGUUGCUUCUGAGUUUCCAGAAACAAAACCAUGAGGGCGUGUCAGGGCCUAAAGCGGACAAUAUCGUGCUACGGUGGUGGAGUAGGCCCGAGAAGUGUUCCGCCCAGGGCGGGAUGUGACAAAUGGUAUCAGAGCCAAUCCCUGGCCGGAAGUGUGCCGAUGAGGAUGUCGGGCCCCUAAGGGGGGUGGAUUGUAACAUCUCACAUCGCCCAGGGGAGUGAUCCUUAAAUGUAUAUUCUCAUCCCUACCUAGCACGAUGCCUUUUGGGAGCUCACUGGCUUCGGGUUCUGUCGGAACUCCGAAGUUAAUCGAGAACGUGGCCAGAGUACUUUCAUGAUGGGUGACCCACUGGGAAGUUGCUCGUGAGUUCCCAGAAACAAAACCGUGAGGGCAUGGUUAGGGCCUAAAGCAGACAAUAUCGUGCUACGGUGGUGGAGCGGGCCCGGGAAGUGAUCCGCCCCGGGCCGGGAUGUGACACAUACCAUGCAUUUUACCCUUGCAUAGAUGGUUCGAAUAUUCUAUUAUAGAAACUAACCCUCAUAUGAUAUCCCAAGUUCAUUGAUCUCCAGCCUAAAUUACCCACAUCGACAAUUCCUGUCAAUCCUAUUCUAAUGUGCACACCGGGCUCGCCUGGAACUAGUUUCACAAUGAUUAGAUUCAACUACACAAAAGAUCAUUUCAAACUACCCUCAUUUCCAUACUUCCAAUCUUAAGGCUGAAAUUUCAACCACAUCAACAUGAAUGAUGCACAAACAAUGUCAUUUCAUCUUUCACAUGUAUCACAGUACAUUCUCAAUGCAUAGCAUUUCAGCAUUAAUUCCAUAACCAAGAACAAGUAAACACUUAACUGAACCAAUUAGCCAAUUAUUAUCCAAUCACAUUAAUCAACCAAAAAGAUCAAGAAUAUUAUAGCACUUCACGAAAUUGAAUAAAAUCAAUUUCUGUAAAGGUUUGCCGUAUUUCCCCUACCUGGAUUCCAAAGCAUUGCUCCGACUCUCUAUUGCAAGAGUCUACCUUCAACAACUCCUAUCCACAAGUGUAAGAAAUUACUAAAAAAAAUGACAUGAACUUUAAUCCUAGUCAGAAUACUUAAGCUUGCUAAUUACACACUACUAAUUCAAAAGUCAUUUGGUUAAUUUACAACAGCAUGGUCAUCAGUGAAGGAAACUUUUGAACUAGAAUACCUUUAUAAAAUAAGUAAAGGUAUACUUCGAAAUACAUAAGUACAUUAACAUACUUCAGCCAAGCUAUAGAUAAAAGCACUAAUCUGUUAGUAUUAUGAAUGAUGUAAAAGCCCUUUAAUUGGCUAUGGUUUUGGCCCAAUUAGAAUAGAACAAACAGCUUAAUAAAAUAAUCUAAAAGAAAAGAAAAUGAAUAAUAUGAAUAUAUAGUUCAAAUACUACCGUAAUGGUGUACUGAACUUAUUUGGUUCAAAAUAAUAGUAAAUUAGAGUAUAGAAAAUUGAAAUAAAGGAAUUAACGAUUAAAUAAGAAGUAAUACAAAACUUUAUGAAAUUAAUAAGUAUAUACAACACAUAAUUAUAUAUAAUUAUUUUUGAAAAUACAGGUCCUCACAAUUGUUUAUUAAAAUAUUAAUUUCUUAAAUGACUAUAGGGCUAAAAGAGUCUCUAACCCUCUUUUGGUUGGAGAUAAGCCUCAAUUGGAGAUGGUAGCCAUUAUGAAUAAUAAUGAUGACUAAUCGUGACAAACGUUUGAAAUCUACAUGAGUAGGUAAGGUUUUGGCAGUAGGCAGUGGAUGUCUCUUUUUGAUUCCCAUCCACUUGUUGUCCACUUGCUCCGUAAGUGCAGCUUUUCAGUGCCUUUUUUUCUUAAGAAAAUUAAUAAAAAUAAGCUUUAAUUUUUUACAUUUUAAUCAAAAAUCGUUUAUUAAUUUUAUUUAACAAUAAAAAUAAAAAGAAUAAAAAAUAAAAUAAAAAAUAAAAAUAUACAACUCACGCUGGGCGCACGUACCUCCCACCCUUUUACCUCUCUUUCACACUCUCCUUUCUCCCGUUGUCAGCUAUCAUUAAGAGUUUUUUUUAGAAUAAGAAAAAGACUUCAAAUUAAAUUACAUUUCUCAGUUUUAUUUUUGUGGUGUUGUUUCCCAAUAGUAAUUAAGAUGACGAGAGACUUUUCAAUGUGUACAGAAAACGGGUAGUACACUACAUGUCUCUAUACAUGUGGUGAGAUUUUUAUGUUAAAAAUUAUUAACGUAAAAAAUAAAGUUUCUCACCACUUACACAAUAACACGUGGUGUACCACUUGUGUUACGCGCAUAAGAAAUUUUUUCUCCAAGAUGACACCUAAGCUCAAAGAAAUUGGAUGAAGAGUUACAUUUAAUUAAUGCAGGUAUGUAAAAAAGUGAGGAAAUUUUAAUUUGGUAACUGAAAACAACUUUUUAAAUAUAAGGCUAAAUAGCCAAAAUGGUCCCUGAGAUUUGCAUAACUCAUCACUUUGGUCCCUAACAUUUCAAAUCAAUAAAAGUGGUCCCUGAGAUUGUCCACCAUCCAUCAUUUUGGUUCUUCCGUUAUGCUAAAACUCACAAAACCUCACUAUGGUAAAACCCACAAAACCUCGCUAUGGUAAAACCUAAGGUGGGAGAAAAAACUCAUAGACUAAGGAGAAAGGUGAGAAGUUGCAUUAAGUCAAAACUAUACGUCUUCUGGAUGCAAGUAAAAGAGCUUACAAGGGUAUGACCAGCCGAAGAUGGGUGCCUCGUCAAAACCUAGUUAGGUAGUAAAAAACCCAGUGGGAAAAAUGCUAUCGUAGAAAAAAAAGUACAUGAAGAUCAAGUGAGUAUAAUUUUGGAUACUUCCGCAGAGUUUGACAAAAUUUCCAAAUAAGAAUGACAAGCAUUGCAUAUGAUUAGUUAGGCAUACCAAUUCCUCAGACAAGUUUCGAGAAAGUAGACUUCGGCAGUGACGUCGUGUAAAGGUUGGCAAGGUUGUCAAGGAUCGGCUUGCAUAACUUCAAUCUCCUGAUGCUUUGUUGAUGUGGUGUAGAUGCAAUAUCUCUUGGCGUUGACUUCGUUGAUGUAUCAUGUCUUUGUCGAGUUGAUACAUGCUGCAUAGUCUUCAUAGAUUGUCGUUAGGACUCAACGAUGGAUGAAGGCAUUGCAUGUACUUCAAAUAUGCUCAACAAUAGCUCUUAACCAUGUCUCACAUGUGGCAUAGUGAAGUGAGGUGAGUCUUGGAAUGAUUUGAAUAUUUGCAACUAAGGUCACAUCGUGGACCUCCAAGAUAUUGCGGUAUCCCUAACGGUAAAGACAUAGACAUUUGGGGAUGUCCCUUGUGCGGGUUUGAUAAGCAUCUUGCGUCAACAUAACAAACAAGGCUAGGAUCAUUCUGAUGAUCAAGGGGUUAGAUUUGCUCGGCAUAUGUUGGGAUUAGCCCAAAUCCGUAGUACCUUCAGGGUAGCAGAAAAACGUCUUUAUUACCAAUUCAGUGGUUGCAUGUAGGCGCGAUGCUACAUCUUUACUAAUAGAUCAACAUCGAAUGAGAUAUCAUGUCUAACAUAAUGAGCUAAGUACAACAAAGCGUAAAGUUGAACUUAGAUAUGGAACUUUAGAUUCCAUAACCUCUUCAAGGGUCUCAUUUGCAUAUAGCGUAUGGAAGAUCAUAGGUAUACUCAAAAGAUAACACCUUUGGGGUGUAGUUCGAUUGGUAGACCAAAAUAUCAUCAAAACACAAAACAACGCUUGAACUUCAGGUCAAGGCAUAAACGAGUUUUCCUAAGAUCCUCAUCUCCAUUUCCAUCUUUAGGUGUUAGGCAGUUUUCUCAAGCUCUUCUAGAGUCUUAAUGAGAUGCAUGUCAUCGACAUAAACUGUAACUCUAGCAAUUCAGAAUAUGACUUCGUAGUUUAACACGCAAUGGCAUAAUUCAUAUCUCUAAUUGAUCAAACAAUCACUUUGACAGGUAUACCAUAUCUGUCGAAUUGCUUCAAUCCGUAAGUGAACACCUCAAACAAGUUGAGAGGGUGUUCCGUAGUCUAACUAUUUGAACUAGUUCAUGUAAUUAUUCGAGAACUUACAUGUCAAUCUCCGUAUCAAUAUUCCUAUCGAGAAACACUAACCACAUUCAUAAUUCUACAGUCAAUCACAGGGCGUUUGAGAGAAACAUUGCGCUGAAAGUAAUGCUAUCUCAUUCAUCUCAUUACAUUUCUUUUCCUACUUGUAACACAACAGGGUUACCUUGGACAGUGUAGGAACGAAAAGUCCAAACACAUUUUGGUAAGGAAUUUAACCUAGAUUGAAAUCUUGGUUGUCCGAUUAGUUUUACGUUGUCAUUAAUCAACUGAAUGUAAUUCAAAAUUGUCGUUUUUCAUUUAUGUCCGUAGCUACCAUAUAAGUGAAAACAUCAUCGAUGAUAAUCUCAUUCCAAUUCCAUAUCUCAUCCAAACUAGUAUACUAGACCAAGAACUUCAAGUCUCAGGAGUAAUCCGGAUUAAUCUUUUGAGGUGAAAAUUAUUUGAGACAACGAUCAAUUAUGGAUUUAUGUUGUGUCGUGAUCUUCCUCUUCUAGGGAAGUGAAUCUUAUGAACCGAGUAAUACGUCGUGCUUCAAGCCAAGAACGGAUUGAUUGACUAUCUGCCAGGGUACCAAGUUGCCCAACAUGGGCAGCCAACACCCUUUAGGAAUGUUGACUUAACGUCUGUUAAGUACAUCUAUCCUUGCAUGCAUGUUUGCAGCUGGCAUAUGAUCUUGUCACUUUAGCUAGAUCAAAGGAAUGCGUCUAGAGCAACAUUCUGAAAGUUAGAAUACAUCACACAUACUUAUCACACUUGUGUGGAUAUGAGACAUAGUGGGCAACGUGCACGCGAAUUUGCUUCGUUCUACAGGAACUUUGACGUUCUUAUCUCCCUCUAAUAGCGAGAAGACUGUCUCAUUCAAGUGACAAUUCACAAAAUGAGCGAUAAGGAGAUCGCAUGCAAAGGUUGUAAAGAGCUAGUGCGAAGGAAAAUCAUAAUCAACAAAGAUUCACAUCCUUCUUUAAGGAACCAUGUUGGUAUGUUGCGGUGGUGCAAACUUGGCACAUGGAAUGCACACCCAAAUGUGUAAGUAUGGAACGUCAGGUUCGUACCUAGUAACCAACUGUAACAUCGAAUAGGUUAGGUGGCAAUGGCCUCAAAGCAAAUCAACAUAGUUGUGUACAUGAUUGCAUAGCUCUAGAAAUCAAUAGCUUGGUGUGUUCACCAAGGUCCAACGAUCAAUUAAACUGCGCUUUAUGAUCACUCUGCGAGGCUGUUUUGGGGUGAACAUGGGAAUUCAAUGUCCAAUUAUAAACCCAAAAAAAAAUGCAAUACUUCUUGAAAACCUUCGAUAUAAACUUUCUAGUAUUAUCCAGUGUUCUAGACUUUAUGGGAUAAUUAGGGUGGUGGUGCCUUAAAAUUGGCCAAGAGGUUUAGCUGCAGUGUGUGUGGACAAACAUGUGACCAGUUUGUCGAUUCAUCAACCAAAACCAUAAGUAUUUAUAUUGUCCACAUUUUGGUUGGAUUAGUCCACAUAUAUUUCCUUGAAUCCACUAUGAAAAGAAGGCCAUUUCGUAUCUUUGCUAGGGAUGAUUUAGAAAAUCAAAUUUCCCAAACGAGUAAGUUUGGCAAAGUGUGUGCUUGUAAACAUAAGAUCCUUACUUUGGGCAAGGAGAUUCUUCGUGGCAUCAUUGUUCGACCUAAGUUUACCAAACGGUCGUGCCAAGGCAAGUAAACUGCUCGAAUCACCCACCUCUAAGUCGGCUACACAUGGCGUAUCCUAGUGGGGAGGUAGCCUAUUGGCCCUAAAAUAAAACUUUAGGCUCAUUUUGGGGGUGAUGCAAAGACAUUCCACUCUAUGUUUCAUCAAUGGUUUCAUUCAUGAUCAUUGUUCUCUCGAAUAUCCUAAAGACUCAAUGAUUUUCUUCUGGAAUGAGGAGAACAUAAGGUCUCUUAAAUGGUAAUUUAGUACCAUUUAUACAAUGAGAAGCAUGCCAAUGCUCUUAAUUAGGUUGGAUAAACCUGAAGUCGUUGUUAAAGAUGUGAUUUAGGUAUAUAGUUAGUGUGCGUAGUGUCGCAUUCAUCCAGACAACUAACUUUCCCACAUUCGUACCUAAUCACGUUUUUAAUUGAAUUCGGUUAGAAACAUUAUUCAAUUAACUCAUAUUCGAGGACAAUAUCGAUAAGAUUAUCCACAAAGUAAACCAAAGUUACUAAAGAGAUUCUCCCAACAAGGUCAUCCAUGUCAAAAUUCUGGAGCAAAAUUAGUCUCAGAUAUUGAUUACGAGAAUGGUACUCCUUAACGAUAUUGGUAGGGGCAUGAAAAGGUGCAUAACCAAUGAAUCUAUUCCACCAAGACGGAAGUAGAUUCUGCAAGGUUGAGGUUUGGGAACACUAUCCCUUAUUCUUGAAGUUUUAGGUCUUAGAGAGUAUCCUACGCACGUUUGGUGACUUUUAUCAUGGCAUUUAUGAUGAUCAGUUUCUCUUUAUUUGCAAUGGUAUGCAGGCCCUCGUUGAUCUUAAGAAUCUUCUACAACUCAGGACAAUCGCAAUUCUCGAGCCUCUCGUUUUUAAGAACUUUUGUGGGCUGGAUGGUGCCUUGGAGAUAUUGAGGCAGCGACUACAGGGUUUAAUGGUGGUGGAAGACCACAGAGAUUAUGCUAUGGAUGUGCAAAGCAUCCGCAAUGAAGUGCAGCAGAAUUUUGAUAGAAAGCUGGAAGAGGUGGUUGCUAAACUUGUUUUGGGUAGCAAUCUGUUUAGAAAUUUACUUUUGGUCGUAACUACCAUCCUAUUAUUUUCUUUUACUUAGCGUCUUAUGGAAAUGACAGGUAAAGCAAAAGGGUGGCCAGGGGAAGACUGAAAUGCAUAUGUGAGUCUUUCGGCCUCCAAAAUGGUGGAUUGACGUAACAAAGCCACCAGCUGGUUCCGUAAACAACAUUACAUACUUGGGUACAUCUGGUGCGCUUGUAAUUUAUGUAUUGCUCUUGAUCUUGGAUCUGUACAUAGCGAACAAUUGGAAAUCUAGUCUCUUUCCCCAUAAGGGAAACUAAGGUAGGCUUUGGUUGUAACUUGUAGUCAUAAAUUGAUAGGUGAAACUUCAGGGGAAGAAAUGUUAUAUGUUAUACUAUCUUCUUGGAAAAUGAAUUUAUCUUGGCAGUCAGCUUAUCCAAGCAUCUUCGGUGAAAAUGAAGUUUUGUUGUGAAAGUAAUUGACGAUUAGCAAACUAGUUUAUAUGCCUGUGUAAGAUUAGUGGGGGUGAACAUGCUAUGAUUGCGUGAUGGAAGUUAAAUUUUCGCUCAGUAACUAAUAACCCAUGUAUCAUGGUGAAUGGGGAGGAGUAGUUCAACUCCUUAGAAGCUUUCUUUAACUUCUCAACGUACGAUAAUUCCAUAUUCUCACAGAAACAGCAUGUAGAAGCAACAAAGAAAGUUUUGAAGUGAUACUUCUACAGUUUGAUACAAGAGUAAGACUCUUUCAUGAAUGAAGUAGGUGAACAAUUCUUGUUGAACUAUUAAAUAGCAAUUUUUCUCUUUGGUACCUAAAAACACGGACUAUCGUUGCAUGAUUGAUUGCUGGAUUUGAUCUAAAAACUUAAAAGUUUAACCUUUGGAUAUGAUGCUACUGUUCAGGCUAGAUCUGUCCCUCGCACAGCUCCUUGGAGCUCUUGCUUGUCAGGCAAGGUUUGCUGCAAUAUGAACUUGCUGUUAGUUUGAAUGGUGCCUUUGUAGGGCCUUUGUUAGGUCGAGUCAUUUGACAUGAUUAAUGAAAUUGAUUGAGUUAGGGUUGAUUAGAAUUUGGGAUGGACACAAAGCGAGGAAUAGAGAGCAGGAAAAUUUGAAAUUGAAGAUCAAUUAUGUGAAGAAUAGUGCUAACUGUGAGAAUGUGAGGACAAAUAUAGGUGAGCGACCAAACUAUGCAAAGGGCUUAUAAAAGGCUGAGUUGCUCUUCAUAUUAUCAAUAAGUUUUAUGAUGGAACCUUAGCUUUCUUCAUGGUAUCCGAAUAGGUUGACCCACGUGUAAAGCCCAAUAGCCACAUGUGCUCACAUCACCCUAUUUGUAUUAUCCACGUGUUAGGCUUGAAAAUUCGUCACACAUGAGGGGGCAUGUGAGAAUGUGAAGACAAAGUCUCACAUUGGUAAGGGAACAAACCAUACAAGGGCCUAUAAGAGGUGGGACUAUUCCCUAUAUAAUAUAUUGCUAAUUAGUUUUAUGGUGAAAUCUCAACUUUAUUCAGUAAUAGUGCAUGAAGAUGAUGAUAUCAUAAAAAUUAUUAGUGGAGCGUGAGAGGGCUUUCUUAAGUUUAGGAGAGAUAACUAAUAAUGUUUCAAUAGAGAAAAAUAAGAUUUGAUAGAAGAAUUGUAAUAGCCAUGUGGAGCUAGGUGUAUGGAAAGGGAAUUUAUAACCCUUUUGGGGAAAGUAUGGGGGAAUUUUAGUUAUAUAAGGUUUUCUGGUCGAGUGAGUAUUGAAAUAAUUUUUCAGACUCCAUUAAGUUUCAGGUGACUGAUUGUUUACUUCAGUGGUAGUCCAGAGUUCAUGCCCUACGCUAACAGUUUGGGGCAGGACAAUUUUGAUGUGGUGAUUUACAUUUAUGAUAUUUAAAAUCAAUAAAAUUGGUUUGUUAACAAUCAAUCAUUUUAGUCAUUUCAUAAAAAAAUUUCGUUAAAUAAAAAUAAAAUAGCAAAAAUACCAUCAAUUUUUGUCAAAUUAUUUUGGCAUAUUAUUUAUUAAAUUGAAGAGUAUUUUUUUCUCAUUUUGGUCCUUAUUUAACAGAAAUUUUCACGGAAUGACCAAUAUGAUUGAAACUGGACAAACUCAGUAACCACUUCUGUUGCUUUCAAAUCUUAAGGACUAAGUGAGGAGUCAUGACAAUCUCAAUAAUCAUUUUAGCUAAAAAGCUGAAGGUAAAAGCCCAAGAUAAUAUUACCCUUUACCCUUUAAUUUUAAAAAACUUGAAAGGAAAGGGGGCUCAAAAAAAUAAUUUUAAAUUGGAAAACAAAAAUAAAGCAAAUUUGAGGUUCAAAUAGAACCAUCAUAAUUCAUUUGUUUUCUAUUGGAAAAAGGUUUUUUGCCAUCUUGGUCUGUGUUUAACUAGCUUUCUUCUAGUUGAAACCUAAUUUCCCUAAUUCUCUAAUACAUUAGUUUCAAAUGUUUUUUUUUUUUCCCGUCAUUCCUGUAAUCCCAGAUUUAUUUCAAAGUAUUUAGAUUUUUGUAACAAAUGUAUAGUUAUAAUAACUUAUUUACAACUUAAAAUCCAGCCAUCUAAACUUGCAAAUUGUUGCAGCCAUGAGGCUCGUUAAUUAUUUUUUAAUAUUUUUUUUCACUGUUUUCCUAUAUGAUAAAGGGUGGUGCAAUCUACACACCUAACUUUACCUCUCACAUAUCCCUUGUUAAUUACUGUCCUUUCUAUUUUUCAAUUCAUUCGAUCAAUUUCAACUGUACAAUACACAAGCAAAACACAAAAGCGAAUACACCAAUUCUGGUUGAUUUCUUAAGAGAGAGUCAUCAUCCAAACCAGAGUAGUGCUAAAGACUAAUUGGAAAACUAAUCAUUGUCCGUACAACCAACAAAAUCACACUCCCAAAUAGGUUACAAGCAUUCAUCCAAGUUCCAACUAGUACUAGAGAGCAGCAACAGUCUAGAACUCCCAUUUCUUCAUGUCCACGCCGACCGGAGCACUUCCCUCAACCUUUUGUUUCCCACUUCCUUACAGUUUGUCUAAGUCAUUGUCCUGUUCCACUCCCCACAGCAUGUCUUGUCUCCACAGAGCACUUCCCUCAACCUCUUGUUUCCCACUUCCUUCCAGUUUGUCUAAAGCACUGUCCUGACUUCCCUCAGCAUGUCCUGUCUCCUCGGUGCCCUUUUUCGUCUGUAUUCGAAGAGGUGAUAAUUUUCCGCACCUCCAUUAAGUUCUUCCCGCCGCAUCGCUUAGUCUACCCUUUUUCGUUUCGGGGAUGGGUAGUACGGGCUUGACGCUCCAACAACUGGGCUACUGACCCUUAGUGGAACAGAGUUGUCCUCGCUGAAUUCAAGAGAUGUCCAGUGUAAUGGUUCAGCUUUAGCCAGGCGAAUUUCAACUUUGGUGGACAGAACGUCAAAUCUGCACUUUUCAGGCAUUAUCUUUCCAAAUAAGCGAGGCUGAAAAUAAUAUGUAUCUUCACCAGCAACAUCAAUGCUAACACUUAGUAUUUGUUCACCAAAGUCAACAUUAACGUCUUUGGCUGGUAUGCCCUUGGCGAAUAUAGUCACAACCACUUCUUCU
rnacentral:lncRNA from 1 species